UGCUCACAAUUAAUCCGAUUACACACGAGCUUCUCUCCCUGGCCAAGACACAACCAUAGUAUGAUGAAGAACAUGGCACUAGCCGGCAAUGGUAUGAAGAAGUUAAUCCUCGCUGUUCUCUUACUGUGUCUAGUUAUAGGGCAGAUACAAGUGGAAGCUAAGAGCUGCUGCCCAUCCACCACUGCAAGAAAUGUCUACAAUACCUGCCGUUUCACGGGUACAUCCCGUCCAACGUGUGCAAAACUGUCAGGCUGCAAAAUUAUCAGCGGGAACAAAUGCAAGCCCCCUAACGACCACCUCACCCUUGACCCGGACACUGGUAAAUAAUAAAUUUAUCUCACUUGAUUUCUUCGUGAUUUGAGUCGUUAAUGUAUUUUCCAUCUGAUGAAACGUAUUGGUUUUGCAUUGAAGAGGAAGUUAAUGUGCUUAACUUCUGCAAGUUGGGGUGUGCGUCGUCUGUGUGCAACAACAUCAACGCUGGUAAGCAACUUUUGCUCAGACAGAGAAAACAAUAAUCAUUAAUUAGCGGCAGCUAGAAUCCUAUAAUCUAAUAUAUAUAUAUAUAUAUAAUUUUAUCAGCUCUGGGAAAUGAAGAGGCGAACGAUGCCGUUGAGAGUUGCGACCAAGCCUGCUCUAGCUUCUGCAGCGUGCAUGUUGGCAGCGCCACCGUGGUUGCUUAAGCAAAUGCAUCCAACUAGAUCGUCCUUGUGCUGAAUAAUUGGAUAUCGUAUCCACUUAAAGCUGCCUUGUGUAGUACGUCUUUGUGUCUCUCUUUAUAUUCCAAUAAGGUCGGUGAUCUUGAUGCCACACACUCAGAUGUGUGUUCAUCUCCAGAUACUACUCCAUGCUACCUGCCCUUUGUGUUUUGUUCAAUAACUGGGUAUCAUAUCCCAGCCAGUAUGCCGUCUGUUUUGUGUUUGUUUCCUUCUAGUUCCAAAGGGGUCAUCAUGAUGUUACCUUCUUUCAAUAUGGUGCUUUGCAUGACUACUGUUGUAUGGUACCAUCUUGUGGCCAAUAAGUACAUCUUAUCCUAUGACCUUUGCUAUGACCCUUUGCAAAUAAGUAGAAGAUUGUUAUAAGCGUCAAUACUCCGUAUAAAUUGAUCGCUGCUGUGAGUUCCCUUUCAGCUUAUCGUAGGCAUACAUUAUUGCUAGCACGGUAAAGCCAACCAACACGAAUGAUGAAGUAAACGUAGCGGUACUUCUGUAUACCAACACCCUUACUUAAAUGUACCGGUGUCAUUCCCUACUGGCACAUAUAUUCUUAUAUGCUAGCCAGCUUGUAAAAUUAACCAAUUAAAAUAAUUAUUUCAAGAUAGAAAUAACUUAUCGGUUUCUGGAAGCAUGUGUAAUGUGAAUUCAAGGACUCGACGGAAGUUGAAUCACUUCAUCUAUAUUGCUUUCAGUAUUUUGGGUAACUAAAUUUAACAUUUGCACAUACAAAUGUUAAAGUACAAAUGUUAAAUCUAGUUACCCAAGCAGAAUAUGAAGAUAGUUUAUAGUAUAUAUAUACUAUAUAAAUCUAGUUAACAUUUAGUCUAAAUGUUAAAUCUAGUUACCUAAAAUCCUGAAAGCAAAAUGUAUAAAUAUAUAUCUUUUAAGGCAGUAUAAGCUUCGAUUCCUAUUGCUGCUCUGUUAAAUCUCAUCUUUCGUUGUGGCCCAACACUCUAGUAUGCAUGUUGCACCAAGCUUCUUUGAGCCGCUCUGCCCUCUGAUUUUGCUGCGUAGGGGAAUCUUUAUCAGGUUGGGCUACUUCCAGUUGUGCGAUGUAAAGAUUCGUAUUUUCUAGAAGGUAGACAAAAAACUCGCGUUCUCUUAAGGCAACAACCGGAAGAUUCUGCAGCGCACAGGGCAUACCAUUAUUGUAGAAACGACCUUUAGUACCGAUCUCCAACCCCCUUUAAAACUGGUUUUGCAACCGGUACCGUUAUGUCGGUCCUUUAGUACCAGAUCAAAUAAGUACCGGUUGGUAACCAGUAUCAACUUGUUUUGCGGCCAAAAAAAUAAAGAAAAAAACAGUCAGAAGGCUCGCGCACACGCGCAUCACAUGAAAUAUGCGUGUGCGGGGUCCAUGGGAUUCGAACCCAUGAAAUCAAGCUGCGCGCGACCCUUCGUUACCAUCUCACCUACAUAGCGCAUAUGCUUUCCUGAAGUAACCCGUGGAGGAGGCUUUAGUACCGGGUCAUAACACCACCCGGUACUAAAAAUGACUCUUCAGUACCGGGUCAUAACACCACCCGAUACUAGUAUCGGAUGGUGUAAUGACCCGAUACUAAAAGGCCUCUAGGGACCCUCAAAUUUGAACCCGGUACUAAUGCUAAUAUUAGUAGCGGGUCAAAGUGCAGCCAGAACUAAAGCAUGGGAUGAAAGGUCAUAUUUCUAGUAGUGUAUAGUUGUUGUGAAGGACUGACUUGGCUGUCCUCUCUCUUCUCCAUCCCCUUGGUCUUACGCCGCCGCUCGCACGCGAGCCGGUGCCCAACCAGAGGAGUGAGAGCUAGGGGCAGGUUGGGAGGUGGGGAUAGUGACUGGUGGCCAGGGUGAUGGUUGAUCCUGGUGGGGUUAGGGUUUUAGGGUUUUCGAGCUUCCUAUGGUCGGCGAACCUAGAGGAGGAGCUCAACAUCAGCUGCAACCCGCGAUGGUGGUGGUUUGGCCGGCGCCCGAGGCGAGGCAGCGCGGGAGUGCUGCCGGUGGGUUGGUGUUGGCACUCAUUAUUGACAACUAUUUUGUUCAUAAAAUAACACUCAAACUUGCUGCUGCUGCUGCUGCUGCCAUCGCCACCCUAGCCAUAAUAUAAAGGCAAAAUUUGCUAAAGGACAUGCAAAAUGAUGCUAGUUUGCUGGCGGGCAUCGUUGACCUUGUAAUAUGCUACAAGACACUCUAGUUGUGUAUCAAUUUGCUGAAAGACAUUGCUAUGACUAAAAUAAUGUUUCUGGACUGAGUUGGAGAGAGAGAUGGAGUGAAAUGUCUGUUUUGCCCAUGACCCCACUGGUCAGAUCCUUCUUCUUCCACCCUCCUUUGUUCUUUCUUCAACCAUUACCCAGCUCCAGCGUGUUGCAGAUCUACGAGGGUGGCGGCCUGGGGCGAGGGGCAUCGCUCGCCCUUGGAGGAGCGCUGCGAGCGACGGCGCGGGGGCGGCAACAGCGCGUCAGAACCUGACUGUUCGUUAGCUCCUCUCGCUGCUGGGGAAGGAGGGGGAUGGGCCAUGGACGGGGUUCCCUUGAAAACCUCAGCGUCGAGCUCGGGCGGCUACGCGCAGGCAGCACUAGGCUGCUUCACGGGGAGGGGGCGCGGCCAAUCAUUGGCACCCCACUGGUCCAAUGCUGAUGAAGAUGGUGCCAGCGUCGUGUGAGGACAUCUCAUCUCCUCGAGUUCCAUGGCCAGCACAGGUGAGCUGCCGCUACCACAAAACAGAGGUUUCGUGAGAGUCAAAAAACCUUAUGAAAAUAGCUAAAACCAUCAUGAAAAUAAUCCGUGACAUGACACUCUCACGAAAAUCCUCUCACAAAUAUGGUGCCAUGAAAAUACCAUUUUCAUGAGAGUGAACUGUCAUGAUUUUAUUUCGUGAGAGUAUUUCCUAUCAAUGACCUCCACGAAAUACUUUGUGCCACCAGGUCUUCAAGAUCAUUUUCAUGAGAGCUGAACAUCAGGAAAAGUCCGCCACAAAUGUUUUUCUUGGAGCCCCUAACUCUCAUGAAAAUCAUGCGGGCCGCCACGAAAAACAGCAUGACCAAAUGACAAAUUUCAUUUUCAUGUGUUCAUACCGCCAUGAAAAUGGUCAUUUUCAUGAGAGUUGAUGAAACAAAAAAUAGUGCCAUUUUCAUGAGAGUUCAAGCAACCAGGAAAAGACACUAAUAAACAUCCAGAUCCCAUCCAGCACACAUCCAUGCACAUAUAUAACCCACAUAUUGCUCCAGCACACAUCCAUGCAUAUACAAGAUCCAAAUGUUAAUAUAGUAGACAUCCAUGCCUGAACUAGUCUGCCACACAAGUCAUUGAUGCUACAAAUCCUACAAUCGCAGCAUGUGCAUACAAGUCACAGAAUGAGACAAUGUACCCAAAACUAAAAGGUUAGCAUCAACUGUGCUUCAACCAAAGUUGUCAUCCCAACUCUCCUCUUCAUCCAUGCCAUUCUUGUCGUGGCCGUCACUGUCAGUCCCCAUGGCAUUGCCAAUGCUGUGCAUGUCUUGGUAGGAACCUACAUGUGAUGAACUAGUAACCUGCAAAAAGAGCUCAAAGGAUCUUGUUCUCAUAUUGUAGCUGUGAAAUUCUUACAAGUAGUGUUGCAAUCAGUUCACUUUGAACCAAAAGAGCUCAAAGGAUCUUGUCCUAAAAGUUCCUCAUAAAGCUUAUGGGUUUGCUGGUGGAACUGGAAGGGCUUGAUGCAGCAGAUGCCAUUCUGCAAUAGAGAAAAAUUUAGAGAGCAGUACUAGUUAAAAUUGGAUGCAGAAGAUACACAUGAAACUAGUAUUUAUACAAGUCUAUACAAUUAAAAUCUAAGGAGACUUAUCAUCGUUUUCAUGUGUUGUGAAUUAAAAUAAUGAAGGAUACACUGUUAGGUGAAAAUUCAAGAAACAAAAUUUUGCAUAGAGAUAAAGGUCCAACAUUAUUACAAGUUAAGGUAGUUUUAAAUAUCCUUGUAAUCUUCCUUUGGUUUCCUCAACGAUUCGAAGACAAUAACCUUGCUUCUAUCAAUGAUAAUUAUAAGGAGAAUCCAGUGGAAACUGUGUAUUCGUAUUAGAACUACCUAAGGUUAAUUAGGUUAGGAAAGGAAAUUGAAAAUAGAUGGUACCCACACUUACUUAAAGUUGUCGGGCAAUAGUAUGUAAUGCUUGUAAUUCCGUUGCUCCAAGAAUUUGUAUAUGUGGUCCAAUGUAGACUUUGGUUGAUCCCGUAUCUGCUGUUGGUUAAAUAAGUGUUUCUAGCCAUUUCUAGCCAUUAGAACCGGGACUAAAGGGGGCUCUUUAGUACGGGUUGAUAUUACUAACCGGGAUUAAAGAGCCCCCAUUAGAGUUGGUUUUUGGAUGCGGAACUAACAACUCCUUUAGUCCUGAGUACGAAAACAACUGACAUAUUUGUUGCUGGAUGGAAGGUCCUUUCUCUACCGUGAAUAUUGCCAGAAAGAAUUGAAAGAGACUGCUUGCUAAAAAUAUGUCAUAGAUGUAGACCAAGCUACCAAGGAGGUAGACCAAACAUGAUACACACCAUGCGUACCUUGCUGUGCAGACUAUGCAUUGACAAGAUACCCGACCACAUGUUGGCCUCGGUCACAUCAAAAGAAUCAUGUAGGCCACCAAUAAACUACUUGAAGCGGCAUUCCGUAUCGUAUAUGCAUUGCCGGUUCAUCUGCAUUACAUUACAUAAAGCACUAUUAACUAUUUGAAUAAAAUGAACCAAUUUAAAAGUAAUGUGUUGUACUCUACUAUAGAAAGCCCUAUCACUGCCGGAUCCAAAAACAUCAUUGUUAAUGGUGGUUAAGUACCAAAUAUGACGGUCAAUAUUCUCAAGAAUAAUGGAGAAUUAGCAUUUCUUAGACACAUAUUUGGUUUUGAACAAUGUAGUUCCACAUGUCUUUGGAGAUUAUUUGGGUGUGGGUGAAAUAAUACAAAAAUAAGGAGAAAACACACUCCCAUGGCGAAGAAACACAACUCCAACCAAUGAGAGAUAGCCACAGGGGCAGCACACGGAUCCAUGGGCCCACUAACCGCAUCAAACCAUCUUACCAAGGCAGGUAGCACCCACAACCGUCAUUAGGACCCACCUGGAAGUCUACCAAGAAGAAGGUUGCGAGUGGGGCCAGGAGGGGUUCGGUUGAAUCAUCUCUAGCUAGCUCCCCUCAUCCCCAGCUGGUGGGUGGUGGUGGUUGAUGGUGUCCCUACAUCAGUUAGAGGAGAUUCCCCCAAAUAUUCCUCCUGUAAACCACCUCUAUGGACCUAUACAUAGAGGGGUGUGCUCUCCAUUCCAACACACACCACAAGUUGAAUCACUCUCUCCCUCUUUAGUUUCCAAGUUUAUGGAGUUAGGCUAGAGUAGCUCUGCUCAAGGUUCCAAGUCCACUUGGAGUUAAGCAUAUGUCUCUUGUAUCGUUAUUUCCUAAAUUGACUUUAUGCUUAGUUCUUAUAUGCAUGAGUUAGUCUAAUACCCUUGCUAUAUUGAUAUGCUCGGCUUAUAUGCUCGUAUGCUAGUCAUAUACCCUUGCUGUCGUAGUAUAGGCUUAUAUGCUCUCAUGUGUGCCUGUAGACCUUGCUAUAGUAUAUACUUGUUGUGCAUACAUACCAUGUAUAGGCUAGUCGAUCUAUACCAUGGCAUUGGUUCAAUAGCCAUGUUUUUGGUGGCUCCAACCCUAGUCACAAUAGCUCGGGACAGCUGGAGUGUUGUUAAAAAUGCAAGAGUGGUGCUUGGGUUGUUUAGCAUCGUUGGAUAUGGGUUUGCCCCACGGGUUUCUAACGGUAGGCGGCAGCUAGUGACAUCCCUGUCCGUCCUUCGUAAUCCCCCCACAUUCAGGUACGCCAUAAAUGUUCGUAAAUUAGCAGUAACUACGCCGGUACACCUGUAGGGUAUUGUCUCCCUGUAGUACCUUGGUGCAUAGAACUAAGUCCUAUACACUGUGUGUGUAUGUUUACGCUGAUAUGAUCUGUGCAGUAUAUAGGAUGUAUAUAUGAACCUAGAGCUAACUCCUAGUCCGUUCUCCAUAGCUUAGUUAUCUUGAGAUGAUUCUUCUGUAUGUGUAACACUACCCAUCUUAUCAUUAUCCUUGAUCCUGUCUUGUGUAAUAUAUCUACUCAUCCUAUGAUAUACUCAUAUGCAUAGUAAACUAUUUUGACCUACCCGCCUUCCUUUGGGAAAUAUGAUACCUUGGAAUAAUCCUAGGUGAAAUCCUACAACGGUAUAUCCAUGUAAAUGCGGAUUUAUUCAUGACCAUUAAAUAUACCAACAAUCAUCACUGUGAGUUUUGGGCGUCGUUAGUGAAGGGUUGGUAGUGAUGGGCAUCCCCUUCACCAAUGGACCUGGAACCGGCGGUGAUGGCUAUUAUAAAAAAGGGGACACCACCCAGCGUACCCCACGACCCGGCCGGCCGCACCUCCCAUCAUCCCCGCCAGCCGCCCUUCCUUUUCGCCGGCCGAGCAUGGUCCCGGCCUUUGUCCCUACCACCUCGCCUCCACCGCGACCCCCCGCCGAUGCCCUCGUGCCUGGCCCCCCUCAUCUUGCCGGCCACCCUCCCGAUGCGUCCACUGGGGCCCUCGCACCACCAACCGCCCUUGCUUAGAGAGGGAGAGAGAGGAGGGAGGUGAGGCCACGCACCUCGUCCUACACCGCCGCUGUUUCUCCUCGGCCCACCGCGCCUCACCCCACACCACAGCCGCGCCUUGCCAUCUUACCGGCUGUGACGCCUCAUCUCACCGGCCACCGUUCCUCACCCCCACUUCGGUCGUCGCCGCUCCUUGCCCUACCGCUGCUCUUUGCCGCUGCGAAUGAGCGCCGAGUGGAGGAGGAGGGAUGGGGCAGGAGGAGGGCAAGAUCCGGGAGGAAGGGAGAGAUCUCGGGAGGUGGAGAUGGAAGGAUAUGGCGGAAGGGAGAGAUCCAGAGGGAGAGAGCAGGGGAGAGAGGGGGGCGUGUGGGGAGAGAGCGCGUGUGGGGUGGGGCCGGGCUGGUGGGAUGGAAGGGAGAGGGGCUAGACGGGCGCAGUGCAUUCAACUGGAUGAAGUAAAUAUUUUGGAUUCGAGACCCCAGCUUUAUUAUCACCGCUGGUCCGUAGUACCAUCCGGUGCCUGCUCGUAAUUUAAUUUGAAUCUGCGGUGAUGUUUUAUUAUCACCAUCGGAUCAUAUAAAAAUCCGGCGGUUAAAAAUCCGCUGGUUUCGAUGAAAACCGACGGUGAUAGGAUGACUGUGAUAGUCUCUUCUCUAGUAGUGGUAUAUUAGUACCGGCUGCCGGAUGGUGUUGCCGACCAGUACUUCUCCGGGGGCGAUUCAGUACUGCUGUUAGCAAAGCUUGUUCUCUAUGAAUUUGGGGAUGGAAAGCUAGUUCUCUAGUUGUGAUUUGUUACAUAUAUAUCUAUGAUAGUCUAGAAAUUGCAUGUCCUUCGUUGACAUAGUUGAAGCUGCUUCAAGAAUUUACUUCGUGCAGUCGUGCAGCAUAUUGGAUUAUCACCUAGACAGGAUACAUAGGUGAAGCAUUGGAUGUGAUUGUGGCCGAUAAUUAUGCAGGACGCUGUUGCAAUCAACCACCAAGAAGUCUGGAGUGAUGGGGUUGCCUCAUCAAUAAUUUUUAUAUAUGGCUGCAGUAUUAUUAAGCCCACGUCAAUAAUUUUUUGUCCGCACCAUAUAUCGAUGGGGUUGCCUCAUCAAUAAUUCGCGCAACCAGACAAGCUGCAGACUCAAUAUGGUACGAAGCUAGUUGCUCAGCCCACAUGCUCUGAUAUAACAUUGACAUCUGCUGAUCUACAGUAUAUAUGACCAGAAAUAUUGUGCCCACCUCAAUAACUUUCUGAAGUAUCGUGGGGAAGAACCUACGCGUACUAUGCCUCGGAACUAACUGACAUAUCGGCCCAGGCGGUCUAGGCCGAUUGGACUGGCUCUUCCUUGUGGCUUCUCACAUCCCCUUCGUCCCCAAGUAAUUUCAGGUGUUCUGUAGUUUUCUUUUCACUUGCAUCUGAGCCUCCUAUAUCAAUAGCUUCGGGAUAAGAAUGCCUCUUGAUAACCUUCCAAAUCCUCGCUUGAUUCACAUUGAUUCCGAAAUCAUCUUGCCAUAUCUUCAGAGACUUAGGUCCUAAGGCAUCAUGGAGGAUUGCUCGCCAAGAAUGAGCACCAUUGGGCUCCUGAGGACCCUAGGCCGAUCAGCCCGGGCUCUAUAGGUCGAUUGGCCCAGGCCCUCUCUGGGCCUGUUGGCCUUCAUCUUUCUUUGAGUCGACGCUUAUUCAGGGCUUUGUCCAAUUAUAGUCCAUUAUAGUCUAAUUUCCUAAAAAACAGAAUGUCCUCCAAAAUACAAUGCAUAUGUGAAAACAACCCAAUUAUUAGGUAUGAUCAAUAGUUUAGGUAUUAAAUUAAUAUUAUUAUUUAAGAUAAACAGGGGUAAAGGGUGUCAUUAAUAACAAGCGCCAACAAGCGUCCUAGCUGUUCAAUAAAUUUUUUCUAGUACCGAUUGGUAACACUAACCGGUGCUAAUAUGUACCCUUUAUUACCGGUUAUUUUACCAGGUACUAAAGGAGACAAGAGCAUCCUAACAUAAGGUUAAUAUCAUCCAUUUCAUGAGUAAAAUACUAUGAUUCAAAAAUAAUUCAAAUCCCUUAAGACAAUACCUAUCAAAUGAGUAAAUUGUAAAUAGAGUAAUCUUGAUCAAACAAUGUCCUAAUGAAACGGAACACUUCUGGUUCGUGUAGAGCACAAUAUAGAAAACAGUAGGGUAGCUGUAUGAUUGACACGUGGUCCAUUAAUUAUUGAGCCAACACUAUGGACAUGUCUUCAUGAGUAGUGUACUAGUCAUAAUACAUGGUAUGCAGUAGGUGGAGGUAUUGACUUAGCCAUGCUAUGAGCACUUAGUUACAACAAACACUUUGCCAUUAUCGAGCAUCCCAAAUCACUACAAAAUCCAUAGUUUACCAUAUACUACAAAAUCUGAGUUAAAAUAAGAGCAUACACGGAAGAGUCCGAAUGCACGGCACAUUGAAUUACUAGACAAAAUUUAUGGGACAAGGUUUUGGGUAACCGCAUGAAAAAUAUUGGAUUUUACUGAACACUUAGUUACAAUUACCAUGCCCGUGAGCACUUAGUCACCACAAACAUUUAACCACUUUAGAUCAUCCUGAAUCCCUAUAAAUUCUAUACCUUACACCGUACCAUGAAAACGACAAGAACAGAGACAGAUGCGGUGAAAAUCUCCAGAGCAAGCCUGAAAUUAAAAUAAGAGGAGGCAGUCACUAUCGACAGGACACGGAGAUUGCUAGCCAUGACAGAGGAAGACAUGAUAUGAUAUUCACCUCUGAAAUGCAGCGUAGACUAAAUGAAGCACAAUUGCAAGUGAGUGUGGCAGAUAAUGGACCAUCGAGACCAUCGAAUGGUAUGAAGCAUGAUUAUCACCUAGACAUGAUAUCCUAGACAGGACGGUGAAUUGUAAAAAGAGUAAUCUUGAUCAAAGAAUGUCCUAAUGAAACGGAACAUUUUUGGUACGUGUAGAGCAAAAUAUAGAAAACAGUAGAGUAGUUGUACGAUUGAAACUGCAUCCAUCGACGUGGUGCAUGAAUUGUUGAGCCAACACUGUGGACAUGUCUUCAUGAACACCAUCUAGUGAGGACAGCAUGCAGAAAAAUAUAAAAACAUGUCAUAGGGAGGCAGACCAAUCUUGCGAGGUAGACGAAACGUGAUACACGAUCUGCCUACCUUGUCGUGUGGAUACCCCAAGUGAAGAUGUCAUAGAGGUGCAGACCAAGCUAGCAAGGAGGUAGAUGAAACGUGAUACACGGCCUGCCUACCUUGCCGUGGAUAUUAGUCCUGAUAUCAUUCUAUUGUUCAAGGAAUAACACUCAAUGCUGCUGCUGCUGCUGACCUGGCUCCAUAAAGUUAUAUUCCUCUAGCCGCUUGCACUAACUUUAUCUGAAGUAUUAUUCUCUCUGCACUGUAUAUAUGGUUACGGAGUUUGCUGGAGUAUCCGGGGGGAAGAACCUACAUAAUAUGUCUUGGAACUAACUGACAUUGAUUCACAGACAAGGUGCUGUUGUUGACAUGGUACAGUAAAUAAUAUAGUUUACCAUAUACCGUAUACCAUUAUAUGUUAGCUAAAAUAAGAGCAUAACAUGUCGCAGGAGUCCAAAAGCACCGGUUGAGGACCAGGUACAUUAAAUUACUAGAAAACAAAAGGGGACAAGGUUUAGGUAGCCACAUGAAAAACAUUUGAAUUUACUGUACCAUGAACACUUAGUUACCAUGCCGGGAGCACCUAGUUAACACUAACAUUUAGCCACUUUAGAUCAUCCCGAAACACCAAUGACCCUCAAUAGCGACAAAUUUUGGUUUAAAUGCCGUCACCAAUGAUCCUCAAUAGUGACGUGUUUAGGUUUAAAUCCCAUCACUAAUAACCCUUGGUAGUGACGUGUUUUGGUUUAAAUCUCAUCACCACUGAUCCUCACUAGUGACGUGUUUUUAGCAACACACGUUAUGAAUGACUUGUCAUUGGUGACAUGUUAAACGCGUUAUCUCAAUGGCAAAUCAAUGGUGACGUGUUUAAAAAAACAUGUCACUGUGAGAGUUAUUGGUGAAGGGUAAUUAAAAUGCAUCACUAAUUUUGUAGCAUUAGUUAUGAUAUAAUUUUGUAACGCAAAAAUCUACCAUAGUAAUGAGGUUUAGAGCCAUCACUAAUGUGGGUUUCUUAUCGUAGUGAUGCAAGCUCUACAAGGUGCUGUUGUUGCCAUUUUAAAGCAUCCCAAAUGACUACAAGAGUCCGGUUGAGGACUAAACAAAUUGAAUUACUAGAACCAAAUGUAUGUCCAGAACAAAGAAAGGGGUCAAGGUUUGGGUAACCGCAUUAAAAACAUUGAAUUUUACUGUACCAUGAACACUUAGUUACCAUUACCAUGCCUUGAGCACCUAGUUACCACAAACAUUAAUUUAGCCACUUUAGAGGUUCCACAAUCACUAUAAAUAAUAUACCAACACCGUACCAUGAAAACAUCAAGAAGAGAGACGGGUACAUGGACCACCAUCAAGUGAGUAGUGACAGCACGCACAAGAAUACCCGGAACCUUUUAGCUUGUCUGUAGUGAUCUGUUUUCUUCGCCACAAAUAAUGAAAGAGGCUGACCAAGCUAGCAACGAGGUAGAGCAAACGUGAUACACGUAGGUUUCAUUCAAGACAUCCAUGUAAGAUUCAUUCAAAACAUUCAUGGAAAUUUCUUGUAAGUUUUCAUGUAAAUUUCAUUCAAGACAUUUGUUAGAGGUGUUGUAUAUACACUUAACGUACAUAUAUCUAUGAUUUCAUGGUUGUUAGUGAUGGCAGAUGAGGAGCAUGCAAGGUGUUUAAUGGAGCAGAUUAUUGCUAGUGGUAGUGGCUCCAACCUGCCCGUAACGUACACCGACGAAGAGGGCAGCCAGGCGGACAUGUUCCUCAACAUGUCCGGUGAUGGCAAUGAAGAGCCCGAGCAAAACCUUGCCGUGACGGAAGGUUCCAUCGAGGUAUAUAUCAUUUCCAUUAUUUUACCCCAUCUAUAAUUUCAUAUUCAUUAUUACUAUGUGCUAAUUAAUGAAUCUUGAACCGUUAGUCCUCUAGAUCAACGAACCGAAAUAAGCCCCGAGGUCUUACAAAGAUAAUGCAGGGAAGGCUUCACAUCAUGGAAGUCACAGAAGAGGGCACAUCGGUUGCUCCCGAACAUGUGGCAAGAAAGUACGUGAGUCAAACCGGGGCAAUCGUAAGGGACAACAUGCCCAUCAGCAUCAGGGAAUGAAAGAGCAAUAGAAAUGAUCUAUACGCACCCCCGGAUACACAAAAGGAUAUGUUGUGGGCAAAUAUCAAGAAACACUUCACAUUUCCCAAAGGAUAUGUUGAAAAAUAUGUGAAAGCGUGGAUGUUGAAGAAGAUGGCCACCCAAUUCCAGACAUUCAAGAAGAUGUUGGAUGCCAACUUCAUCAAGAAGGGUCGAACUCCGGGUUUCAAUGAGUGGCCAAAGUUAAGGGACCACUGGGAGUCGUUUGUCGAAUACAAGACGAGCGAAGGUGGUGCGAGUAAGGUUCACAUCAAUGUUGCCAAUGCUAGCAAGGAGUACCAUCAUCAUCUAGGGCGACGUGGUUACAGCUCUGCAAUUCCCAGAUGGCGCAAGAUGGAACAAGACCUGAUCGAUCGGGGUAUCGUACCAGCAACUCUUGACUGGAUCGAUUGAAAAAUUGGUAUUAUGCUCAUGAAGGCAAUCUGAGCCAAGAGGAUCCGACAUUGGUCUUCAAUAAAACAAUACGUCAGAAGGUCGGAAGGCUUAUUAGGAACAUUGAAGAUGCUAAAGCUGGGAGGUUCAAGGUGGAUAGAGAGAAUGAUGAACUCACAUUGGCCCUCGGGACUGUCAUCUCUAGCACUUCCAGCUCCAGGACUAUCGUCACCACCGGGACCGUCGCUUCCUGCUCGAUCACAGUCUCCAUCUCCAGCACAUCCUGGUGGUGCGAGCGACGACGACAACAACACCCCUCCCUGCCCACCAUUGCCGGGACUAAGACCCGCAUUGAGUAAGGAACCUGCAACACCACUGAAGAAGUCGCGACCACCACCUUCAAGGCAAGUCAGCAAAAGAAGAAAGCAGAGAAGCCUAAACCCACUGAGAAGCCAGCGACUGAUAUGACCGAUGCGGAAAGAUGGAAGGCACUCAAAGAAGAAUGCAGGGAGUGGUUCAGCGAAGGCGAAGGUGAGAAAGUCGUAUGAAUCGAAUUCAAGGAUAUAUAUGAAGUGAACCAUCAGGAUGCCCUUGAUGUCUCUCUCAUCAGCGCCUAGGUUCUGUAAGUGUAUGUUUAUCUAUAAGUAAAUUUUGGCUCAUAUCAUUAUUUUUUUUGCGUGCGUCACCCUACUAACUUCGUCUUCCAUUUUAUGUAGGAUGCUAAUUCAGACGUGCCGCAUAGAAGCGUACUUCCAUGUUGGAUUCAUGGAUCCAUCCCUAGUUAACCAAAAGCCGAUACGGAAGUAGCUAGAGAAAACGUUGGAGGUGGUGUACAACCUCCUGGACAAACUAAACUACAGAAUAGGGGCAAUAUGUGAGGGUCUUGUAGGAUUCCUAGUGGACGAGGUGAUAAAUCCAUAAGGAGAAUAUCAUUCCAACGGACGAGCAUUAGACACACUGAGCAACACCUAGAUGGGAGGAUCCUAGGAAUGACCUCGACAGAUUUUGGUAUAAAUAGUAAUUGUGUAAAUACUAGUUUGAUUUGUAUAGGAAUAUACUAAGAAUUGUAUAUAUAGUAAUUGUACAAAUACUAGUUUGAUUUGUAUGAAUACUAGAUUGAUUUUAUUAUAAAAAAGUUUUAAGUCGUACGUGCAUGCGCCUACAAAGGCGCGGAUGCCUUUUAAUCCCAGUCGGAAAAACAAACUGGUACUAAAGGGGCUCGUGCCGCACCUGGCAUGACCACCCCUUUAGUCCCGGUUGAACGACCCAGGACUAAAGAUCUCCGCGUCUCAAAAAUUUUAUCUCGGAUGCUUUUUAGAGAGAUUUGAGGCCUAUCAACCAAGACUAAUAUCGAGUUUUCUACCAGUGAAACUAACUAACGUUCACAUGGUUUUGACAUUCACCUGCCAUUUGGUGUAGACAAGGGCACCCUAACAUAUGGUUAAUAUUAUUCUUGAAAGAAAAUCCUUUGAUUCAAAAUACUUCAAACCUAAUAAUACAAUACUUCUCACAUCUGAAAAAUAUGAGACGGCCCGACAGUAUUCUAAUCGACGCAAUAAUAUUUUGAGGGCAGCACUACUACAGCGACCCUCAUUCGUGCCGGUGCUGGGACUCCUAUCACGACCCUGAUACAAAUGAGGGUACAUUAUUGGUGCCAGUGCUAGAACAGCCACGAAUAACUUGCUAAACGUGCUGUUACACUCACUACAGGGACCAAGAAGGUAGAUAAAUUACACGACAUAGCCUUGGUUGCCGUGGAAGCGCCAAGAAGGGAGACAAAUUACAGGGACCACACCAUCAAGUAGAUAGUGACAAUAUGCAAAAGAAUACCCGCGCCUGUUAGCAUGUGAACUGACCACACCACGAAACGUGAUACACGGCAAGCGUACCAAGGCCUUGCUGUGCAGACUAUGCAUGGACAACACAUGGUACCUGACCGCUUUUGGCCUCAGACACAUCGAAAAACUGCAUCGUUCCACGUUGUACAUCCAUUGCUAGUUUAUCUAUAUUACAUAAUAUAUUAUUAGCUAUUUGAAUAGAAUGAACCAAUUAAAAAAUUGCGUUGUAUUUUUAGUACCGGCUGCAGGAUGGUGUUACCAACCAGUACUAAUUGGCCUGUAGGAGUGAUGGUUAUUAGACUUGGUACUGUUGUUAGCAUCAUUAACCUAAUUGUGCGCCGUAUGAAUUUGGGGAUGCAAAGCUAGCUCUCUAUGAAUGUGAGGGAUGGAAAGCUAGUUCUCUAGUAGUAAUUAUAUAUAUGACAGUCAAGAAAUCGAACACUAUGCUGCUACGAGUCACCAUCAUUUCCUUCAUUGACAAUCUGACAUAGGUGAAGCUGCUUCAAUAAUUUCCUUCGCGCAGUCGUGGAGCUUAUUGGAUUAUCACCAGGACGGGACACGGAAAUGGCCAGCAAUGAAGCUGAUUGCCGUCUGAGGAAGACUACAUACUUACCUAUGAAAUGAAGCGAUUGCAUAGACUAAUGAAGCAUUGCAUAUUUGCAUGUGAGUGUGGCAGAUAAUUCUGCAGGACAUGAUUGCAAUCCACGCACCAUCGAGAAGACUGGGGCGAUGGGGUUGCCUCAUCAAUAAUCACGUGGAUGCAUGCAUGCAUGUUCCCGCAACCGGACAAGGGUCUGAUAUAUGGCUAUAGUAUUACUGAGCCCACAUCAAUAAUUUCCACUGGUGUAUCGUGUGGGAAGAAUCAACAUACUACACCUCGAGUUCUUGGAACUAACUGACGUUCACAUGCAACCUCCACAAGGUGCUGUAUGCUUUUGACAUUCACCUGCCAGUUCGUGUAGAGAAGGACACCCUAACGUAUAGUUAAUAUUAUCCAUUUCAUGAGUAAAAUACUGUGAUUCAAAAAUACUUCAAAUCCCUUGAGACAAUACUUCUCACUUGACUAACCACUAACCAACCCCGAAACCCUAACUCAACUCCGAACCCUAACCCCUAACGGCAUAACCACUCCGUUUUGCCGGCGAGAUGGAGGAACUGGCUGGAAGGUAGAGAGGGCAGCGGUCCAGGGUUGAAAACGACGGGCGAGCGCAGUAACAUGUGGAGGAGGAAGUGCCACGUAUUCGUUCACCGCUAUUGGGCAGCGACACACGACACGCCCAAUAAGAUCUUCGCACGGUAGAAGGACGUCAUGUAUUCAAUAAUGUUAUUGGUCCCCCAUGUGCAGAAGGGCGCGCGCGUAUGGAAUAACAAGUAGGGACACUGCAACUAAUCUACUCUGCUCGUCCAGUCCCUAGCCUAUAAAUAGAUGCCAUGCUAGCUCUUGUUGUGCUCACAAUUAAUCCGAUUACACACGAGCUUCUCUCCCUGGCCAAGACACAACCAUAGUAUGAUGAAGAACAUGGCACUAGCCGGCAAUGGUAUGAAGAAGUUAAUCCUCGCUGUUCUCUUACUGUGUCUAGUUAUAGGGCAGAUACAAGUGGAAGCUAAGAGCUGCUGCCCAUCCACCACUGCAAGAAAUGUCUACAAUACCUGCCGUUUCACGGGUACAUCCCGUCCAACGUGUGCAAAACUGUCAGGCUGCAAAAUUAUCAGCGGGAACAAAUGCAAGCCCCCUAACGACCACCUCACCCUUGACCCGGACACUGGUAAAUAAUAAAUUUAUCUCACUUGAUUUCUUCGUGAUUUGAGUCGUUAAUGUAUUUUCCAUCUGAUGAAACGUAUUGGUUUUGCAUUGAAGAGGAAGUUAAUGUGCUUAACUUCUGCAAGUUGGGGUGUGCGUCGUCUGUGUGCAACAACAUCAACGCUGGUAAGCAACUUUUGCUCAGACAGAGAAAACAAUAAUCAUUAAUUAGCGGCAGCUAGAAUCCUAUAAUCUAAUAUAUAUAUAUAUAUAUAAUUUUAUCAGCUCUGGGAAAUGAAGAGGCGAACGAUGCCGUUGAGAGUUGCGACCAAGCCUGCUCUAGCUUCUGCAGCGUGCAUGUUGGCAGCGCCACCGUGGUUGCUUAAGCAAAUGCAUCCAACUAGAUCGUCCUUGUGCUGAAUAAUUGGAUAUCGUAUCCACUUAAAGCUGCCUUGUGUAGUACGUCUUUGUGUCUCUCUUUAUAUUCCAAUAAGGUCGGUGAUCUUGAUGCCACACACUCAGAUGUGUGUUCAUCUCCAGAUACUACUCCAUGCUACCUGCCCUUUGUGUUUUGUUCAAUAACUGGGUAUCAUAUCCCAGCCAGUAUGCCGUCUGUUUUGUGUUUGUUUCCUUCUAGUUCCAAAGGGGUCAUCAUGAUGUUACCUUCUUUCAAUAUGGUGCUUUGCAUGACUACUGUUGUAUGGUACCAUCUUGUGGCCAAUAAGUACAUCUUAUCCUAUGACCUUUGCUAUGACCCUUUGCAAAUAAGUAGAAGAUUGUUAUAAGCGUCAAUACUCCGUAUAAAUUGAUCGCUGCUGUGAGUUCCCUUUCAGCUUAUCGUAGGCAUACAUUAUUGCUAGCACGGUAAAGCCAACCAACACGAAUGAUGAAGUAAACGUAGCGGUACUUCUGUAUACCAACACCCUUACUUAAAUGUACCGGUGUCAUUCCCUACUGGCACAUAUAUUCUUAUAUGCUAGCCAGCUUGUAAAAUUAACCAAUUAAAAUAAUUAUUUCAAGAUAGAAAUAACUUAUCGGUUUCUGGAAGCAUGUGUAAUGUGAAUUCAAGGACUCGACGGAAGUUGAAUCACUUCAUCUAUAUUGCUUUCAGUAUUUUGGGUAACUAAAUUUAACAUUUGCACAUACAAAUGUUAAAGUACAAAUGUUAAAUCUAGUUACCCAAGCAGAAUAUGAAGAUAGUUUAUAGUAUAUAUAUACUAUAUAAAUCUAGUUAACAUUUAGUCUAAAUGUUAAAUCUAGUUACCUAAAAUCCUGAAAGCAAAAUGUAUAAAUAUAUAUCUUUUAAGGCAGUAUAAGCUUCGAUUCCUAUUGCUGCUCUGUUAAAUCUCAUCUUUCGUUGUGGCCCAACACUCUAGUAUGCAUGUUGCACCAAGCUUCUUUGAGCCGCUCUGCCCUCUGAUUUUGCUGCGUAGGGGAAUCUUUAUCAGGUUGGGCUACUUCCAGUUGUGCGAUGUAAAGAUUCGUAUUUUCUAGAAGGUAGACAAAAAACUCGCGUUCUCUUAAGGCAACAACCGGAAGAUUCUGCAGCGCACAGGGCAUACCAUUAUUGUAGAAACGACCUUUAGUACCGAUCUCCAACCCCCUUUAAAACUGGUUUUGCAACCGGUACCGUUAUGUCGGUCCUUUAGUACCAGAUCAAAUAAGUACCGGUUGGUAACCAGUAUCAACUUGUUUUGCGGCCAAAAAAAUAAAGAAAAAAACAGUCAGAAGGCUCGCACACACGCGCAUCACAUGAAAUAUGCGUGUGCGGGGUCCAUGGGAUUCGAACCCAUGAAAUCAAGCUGCACGCGACCCUUCGUUACCAUCUCACCUACAUAGCGCAUAUGCUUUCCUGAAGUAACCCGUGGAGGAGGCUUUAGUACCGGGUCAUAACACCACCCGGUACUAAAAAUGACUCUUCAGUACCGGGUCAUAACACCACCUGAUACUAGUAUCGGAUGGUGUAAUGACCCGAUACUAAAAGGCCUCUAGGGACCCUCAAAUUUGAACCCGGUACUAAUGCUAAUAUUAGUAGCGGGUCAAAGUGCAGCCAGAACUAAAGCAUGGGAUGAAAGGUCAUAUUUCUAGUAGUGUAUAGUUGUUGUGAAGGACUGACUUGGCUGUCCUCUCUCUUCUCCAUCCCCUUGGUCUUACGCCGCCGCUCGCACGCGAGCCGGUGCCCAACCAGAGGAGUGAGAGCUAGGGGCAGGUUGGGAGGUGGGGAUAGUGACUGGUGGCCAGGGUGAUGGUUGAUCCUGGUGGGGUUAGGGUUUCAGGGUUUUCGAGCUUCCUAUGGUCGGCGAACCUAGAGGAGAAGCUCAACAUCAGCUGCAACCCGCGAUGGUGGUGGUUUGGCCGGCGCCCGAGGCGAGGCAGCGCGGGAGUGCUGCCGGUGGGUUGGUGUUGGCACUCAUUAUUGACAACUAUUUUGUUCAUAAAAUAACACUCAAACUUGCUGCUGCUGCUGCUGCCAUCGCCACCCUAGCCAUAAUAUAAAGGCAAAAUUUGCUAAAGGACAUGCAAAAUGAUGCUAGUUUGCUGGCGGGCAUCGUUGACCUUGUAAUAUGCUACAAGACACUCUAGUUGUGUAUCAAUUUGCUGAAAGACAUUGCUAUGACUAAAAUAAUGUUUCUGGACUGAGUUGGAGAGAGAGAUGGAGUGAAAUGUCUGUUUUGCCCAUGACCCCACUGGUCAGAUCCUUCUUCUUCCACCCUCCUUUGUUCUUUCUUCAACCAUUACCCAGCUCCAGCGUGUUGCAGAUCUACGAGGGUGGCGGCCUGGGGCGAGGGGCAUCGCUCGCCCUUGGAGGAGCGCUGCGAGCGACGGCGCGGGGGCGGCAACAGCGCGUCAGAACCUGACUGUUCGUUAGCUCCUCUCGCUGCUGGGGAAGAAGGAGGGGGAUGGGCCAUGGACGGGGUUCCCUUGAAAACCUCAGCGUCGAGCUCGGGCGGCUACGCGCAGGCAGCACUAGGCUGCUUCACGGGGAGGGGGCGCGGCCAAUCAUUGGCACCCCACUGGUCCAAUGCUGAUGAAGAUGGUGCCAGCGUCGUGUGAGGACAUCUCAUCUCCUCGAGUUCCAUGGCCAGCACAGGUGAGCUGCCGCUACCACAAAACAGAGGUUUCGUGAGAGUCAAAAAACCUUAUGAAAAUAGCUAAAACCAUCAUGAAAAUAAUCCGUGACAUGACACUCUCACGAAAAUCCUCUCACAAAUAUGGUGCCAUGAAAAUACCAUUUUCAUGAGAGUGAACUGUCAUGAUUUUAUAAGCGUCAAUACUCGGUAUAAAUUGACUACUGCUGUGAGUUCCCUUUCAGCUUAUCGUAGGCAUACAUUAUUGCUAGCACGGUAAAGAGAACCAACACGAAUGAUGAAGUAAACGUAGCGGAACUUUUGUAUACCAACACCCUUACGUACCGGUGUCAUUCCCCACUGCCACAUAUAUUCUUAUAUGCUAACCAGCUUUGAAAAUUAAGCGAUUAAAAUAAUUAUUUCAAGAUAGAAAUAACUUAUCGGCUUCUCGAAGCUUGUGUAAUGUGAAUUCAAGGACUCGAUGGAAGUUGAAUCGCUUCAUCUAGAUUGCUUUCAGGAUUUUGGGUAACUAAAUUUAACAUUUGCACACACAAAUGUUAAUGUACAAAUGUUAAAUCUAGUUACCCAAGCAGAAUAUGAAGAUACUCUAUAGUAUAUAUGUACUAUAUAAAUCUAGUAAACAUUUAGUCUAAAUGUUAAAUCUAGUUACCUAAAAUCCUAAAAGCAAAAUGUAUAAAUAUAUAUCUUUUAAGGCAGUAUAAGCUUCAAUUCUCUGUUAAAUCUCAUCUUUCGUUGUGGCCCAACACUCUAGUAUGCAUGUUGCACCAAGCUUCUUUGAGCCGCUCUGCCCUCUGAUUUUGCUGCGUAGGGGAAUCUUUAUCAGGUUGGGCUACUUCCAGUUGUGCGAUGUAAAGCUUCGUAUCUUUUAGAAGGUAGACAAAAUACCCGCGUUCUGGAAGAUUCUGCAACGUGCACGUUGGCGCUGCCACCGUGGUUGCUUAAGCAAAUGCAUCCAACUGAAUCGUCCUUAAGCUGAAUAAUUGGAUAUGGUAUCCACUGCUUAAAGCUGCCAUGUUUAGUACGUCUUUGUUUUUCUCUCUUUAUAUUCCAAUAAGGUCGGUGAUCUUGAUGCCACACACUCAGAUGUGUGUUUAUCUCCAGAUACUACUCCAUGCUACCUACCCUUUGUGUUUUGUUCAAUAACUGGGUAUCAUAUCCUAGCCAGUGUGCCAUCUGUUUUGUGUUUGUUUCCUUCUAGUUCCAAAGGGGUCAUCAUGAUGUUACCUUCUUUUGAGGUGUCUAUGAUGACUUCGUUAAUAUCAAUAUUAACCAAUUCAAUCUGUCUUAACUAUUUGUAAGGGGUAUGAUGUAUGCAUGAUUAUAACAAUGAUUGCGCAUACAAUCGCCGCCAAAGAAACGGUCAAUACCAUUAAGACAUAUUACAGACAAUUCUCAUAAUCUAUAAUGAAUAUACAUAUUCACUACUGCAGAAGACUGUCAUUUGUAUCGGCUCAUACGUGCCAGGGCAAAGGUCACCCUUGCAUUAAGUACAUUUGCACGGUAAAGACAACCAACACGAAUAAUGAAGUAAACAUGCCGGUGCUUUUGUACACCAACACGCUUACUUAAAUGUACUGGUGUCAUUCCUCACCGGUAGCCGGCUUGAAAAUUAACCAAUUAGAACAAUUAUUUAUUGUAUCGGUGUGAUUUUUGACCUAUUGGAAUAUGAAUUUGACCGUUACUGCAUUCGUCAAGACUCAAGAGAGAAAUAACUGAUCGGCUUCUUAGAGCGUGUGCAAUGUGAAAUCAAGGACUGGAUGGAAGUUGAAGCGCUAGCACUAGUAGAGAAACGACUUUCCAUCCACCCCCUUUUGUCCCGGUUUAAAGUUGGCUCGGGAUAAAAGGUUCACCAACCGGGACUAAAACUCAGUCACUGGUGGGAGGCUCACCAACCGGAACCUUUUAUCCCGGUUGCAAAGGCUAAUGGGAAAAAAAGACUCUGAGAGGCCUUUUAUCCCGGUUUGAAACACCAACCGGGAUAAAAGACCCCCCUUUUAUCCCGGUUGGUAACACCAACCGAGAUAAAAGGGUCAAGAGCCUUUUAUCCCGGUUGGAAACACCAACCGGGAUAAAAGACCCCCUUUUAUCCCGGUUGGUGUUUCAAACCGGGAUAAAAGGGCCCCCACGAGGUGACUGGAAGGUGACUGGAAGGGGAUUAAAUCGUGGGGGACCCUUUUAUCCCGGUUGGAAACACCAACCGGGAUAAAAGGGGGUCUUUUAUCCCGGUUGGUGUUUCCAACCGGGAUAAAAGGGUCCCCCACGAGUUAAUACAAAAGGAUAGUAUCCCCUACAUAGUCAGAUGUGGUGUGUAGGUGGGAUGGUAAGGAAGCUACGCGCGAGCUCCGGAAUUUUUUUUUUUUUUUUUUGCAGCGUCGGCGCUCUCUACCCUUUUAUCCCGGUUGGUAUUACCAACCGGGAUAAAAGGGGGUCUUUUGUCCCGGUUGAGUGACCCGGGAUAAAAGACCCCCCCUUUUUUCCCCGGUUAGUUUAUCCCGGAUGCAUUUUCGGGAUAAAAGCACCCUACCAACCGGGAUUAAAGCUCACUUCUCUACCAGUGUAGCUUCAUCUUCCGCUGCAAGUUAAUUGCUUGGAUAAGAAGUUGUAGCCGCUGCAAGUUAUAAAUAGUCCCGCUGAUGCUGUGCUCCGAAGUCUAUACUAUAUAUGCGGAAACUAGAUUGCUUUCAGGAUUUUGGGUAACUAAAUUUAACAUUUGUACAUAAAAAUGUUAGUUUACGAAUGUUAAAUCUAGUUACCCAAGCAGAACAAGAAGAUAGUAUAUAGUAUAUACUAUAUAAAUCAAGUUAACAAUUAGUCUAAAUGUUAUAUCUACUUACCCAAAAUAUUGAAAGCAAAGAAAGAAUAAGUAUAUAUCUUUUGUUGGAAAAUUGGUCCACGGAGAGGCCCAUUUAGGCCUCGUUCGUUUCACCGGGAUGGGAUUCCAGUCAGGAUUACUUCCAAGUUCGGUUUGAGUGAUUCCACCCGUGUCACUCAAUCCGGCUAGGAUUCAUUCUAUGGGUGAGGAGGUAUGGUUUCAAUCCAGGCCAUCUAAUGUAGAAGGAUUCCAAUCCAGGCCGGUUUUCGUUCCAGGCCAGACUAAAACGAACAACACUUUCAAUGCAAGUCUGGUUUCAAACCGGGCCAUUUCAAACCACCCGGAAUGGACCUCGUUCCAGGCCAAUCCGGUGAAAACAAAUGAGGCCUUAAUGGAAUCCCAAAGCAAGAGUUCAGUGGCAUUCUAUAGUCCCAUGCUGCUAGUUUGAGUUGGUCGAAGCCAACUUAAAUAGGAGAGCUCUCUCACUUCUCUAAAUACGUAACUGAAGGAGAGAAGGGGGCUUGGGUUACACAACGCACGCACGCACGCAUAUUUGCGUUCUUUUCGCGUAACCAACCGCGUGACUUGAAACUUGCGACGUAGCGUGCUGCUAAGUCAAGUUGAUAUAACCUUUUUGCCGUUUGCAUGUAAUCUUUUGACAACGGUCAUUGGAGGUGAUAAGCACGCAGUCAAUACCUUAAUCUUGAGUUAAUAGGGUGGUUACUACUGCCAAUUAGUGGGGCAAUUUUGUAGGGGAAACGGUUAGCAGAGGGCUACCGUCUUCUCUAUAAGAAGUUCUGGAGACGUCCAGGAACACACAUGUACAUGUGAGAGACCCACAAAUUCCUUCCCUUCUCCCUUUUCCAUGUGGUGAAGUGUGCUGUGGUACUGAGCUGCUUGAUCUCGCCGCUCUUCUCCUUGGCAUGCACCGAGGAGGAGGGUGAGCGGUAUCUCCGAGCUAUUGCCGUCAGGAAGCCUGCACGAGGGACAACAAAAAGUUUUUGGGUAGCGCAACUGCCAGCACAACUCUCCCUCCGCCUCUUCUUCACGGUUGAUGGCCACCACAAGCAUAAACCUCGCCUUCGCAUCCACGCAAAAGGGUCGCUGGGGUGCCUUCUUGCAUCGCUUCUCAGCCUCCUUGACUUGCGGCCAGCCAAGAACUGCGCCACCACCUCGGGUGCACGCCACCACUCCAGGGCUGCUACCCCAUGCCUGCGGCCGCCGCCGGCCACCACGCGUGUGCAACCGCGUCGCACCGCUUCCUUGCUUUGUGCCACCACUGCUGCUGUACCACCAGCUCCACCACCUUGGGCUGGUCGCCAGAGUGACUGAUAACUUAUUAUCUGUAACUACUAUUAACUCAGGGAUACAUGCGUCUUUUGCUUCUCCUACUAAUAUGUCCUAAAAUAUCUAGGAUGCCUUAUAUUUCUGGACAGAGGAAGUAUUUGAAUAAAAUGAACCAAUUUAAAAAAAUGUGUUGUACACUACUACAGAAAGACCUAUCAGUGUCAAACCCAAAAAUGUUGUCACCGCCAGUUUUGGGCAUCAUUGGUGAAAGGUUGGCGGUGAUGGGCUUUCCCUUCAACAACGGCACUGGAGCCGACGGUGAUUGACAUUAGAAAACAAAAAAGGGGACCCUACCUAGCCACCCCUGCAACCCGGCCGGCCGUGCCUCCCCUCAUCCCCACCACCUCGCCUCCCCAUGACCCCCCGCCGGCGCCCUUGCGCCUAGCCCCCUCAACUGCCCAGCCGGCCACCCUCAUCACGAGAGAGAGGUGCAUGUUGUAUAAUUGCGUGAAUUUUUUAAUGUUUAAUUUCAUGUAAGUUCCGUGUAAUAAAUUGUACAAGUUUUAUUGUAUAUAUGAAUUCCAUAUAUAUAUAUAUAUAUUUAUAAUUUAAUGUAUGGUUUCAUGUGUAUAUUUCAAUCAUGUGUAUAUUUAGUAGAUUGCCGAUUUUCUUUUUCUACUAGACAAGGGUUGAUGUAUAAUUACGUGUAUAUGUUUAUUGUACGGGCAAUUAGGACAAGUUUUGUAUAAAUUUCUUUUAUUUGAUGGUUGUUGUAUGGUUUCAUGUAUAUACAUUUAUUGUACUACUUUAGACAAUUUUUAAUUUAAUGUUUCUAUGAUUAGAUGUGUGUAUAACUAAUUGUAUUAUUAGUUAAGAUGGGAGCUAAAGAGGAUGAAAGGUAUAUAAUGGAGCAGAUUAUUGCUAGCUCAAACGUUGCAAGAACCUACACCGAGGGUGAGGGUAGCUAGGUGGACAUGUACCUCAACAUGUCCAGUGAUGGCAAUGACGAUGAGGAGCACGAGCAUGACAUCUAUGAUAAUGCGGAACAAGACAUUGCAGAAUUGGAAGGUUCUAAUGAGGUGUGCUUCAUGUUGACAAUCUAGUUGGCUUUUUUUCGUUGGUCACACCUUAGUUACCAUAGAACUUCGUCUCGGGAGAAGAUUGGUGGUGGUAUGGUGAUUGGAAUUUUAUUUCCACGAAAUCUGAUUUCCAUCGAAUCAUAUCCCUUGUAUUUAUCUUCUUUUUAUUUGUGAGAGCAUCUUCUUUAUGCUUGCAAAACAAUUCAAGUGCACAUACUACCCCUAGGGUGACGAUUGGGAGUAGAAAUAAUUGCCAACAAAACAACACCACAUCCUAAGAUUCUUAACUUGUGGCAUAAUUAGUCUAGUAAAAAGAAAGAUAAAAACCUAAUGGGUGUAUGUGAGUGCAAUGUGUAUAUGCAUAUGAGUGGAAGGCAUAUAAGCAAAGACAAUAUUUACACAUAGUUCUAAACACCAUGUUUACAGCUAGGUUGCUGAAUUUCUCCAUAGCCAUAGAGAUUAAUUAACCAAGGUCAAAACACGAUGUCUAUCCCAAGAUCAGUAAUUAUUUAUAGCACAAGAAAAAGAAAGCGCAUUGCAAAGUUUAUAAACCAACCAAUACAGCAUGAAAACAAGAUGAAUAGCUAGCAAGGUUUAUUAAACUGAAUGAUGACGGUCUGUAAGCAAGUUUAAACACCAUCUUUACACAAGAUUGCAAAUGGAAAAUGCCCAUAUGAAGCACUAACAUGGAUAUGAAAUCAUUCAUCAUAAAGCGUAAAGAACAACCAAGCCAACCAUAUGCAAAGCAUGAAUGGAAUGCAAUGAAGGUGCAAGAGAACAUUUUUGGAUGAACACAUUAUGAUGAUGGCAAAAUGCAAUGCAUGCAGAAAAAAUAAAUAUGAACAUGAAUAUGAUGAUCAGGGGCGGACCCACUAUUGUGGCCUGGGUAUUCCUCGGCAUACCCAAUAUUUUUGGGAAAAUGUUUAGUAGUUUUUAAUGGCAUAUACAUGUAUAAUAUAGUUUAGGUGUUAAAAUUGAUAUUCACAGCUAUUUUGGGCUCCAAUUCGCGUCCAAACCAACCUGGCCCACAGACCGCACCCGGCCGCCCGGCCCAUCGGCCCAUCUUGUCACUGAUCCUCCCACCACCACACUCAGCCCGUCAGUUAGUCAGGUCCCGAGCUCCUGCCUGACCUAGUCCGCUACCACCGCCAGGCGCCAGGCACAGCUGUACACGCCGCCCCCGUCCACCCACGUCCGCCGCACGGCCGCGUCGCGCCCCCCCCCGGCGCCCGCUGCUGCCAGAACCCAUUAGGCCUCCACCGGCAAGUCCACCCACAGUCCCGCGCGACGCGGCAGCCUCUUGGCUCUCGGCGCUCGCGGCGCGCCAAUGCCUGCGCAGCCCCAGCAGGCGACUGCCCCCCCCCCCCCCGCAUCGGGCCUCGGCCCCUCCCCAGCUCCCCCUCCCCCCUCCACCAGGACUGCCUGCUGGCCCCCACCGCGAGGUAAUCGAAAUGGACUGCUCAAUCUCUCAAUCUGUUGACAUGAUGCACACGGUUGCAAAAAUAGAUGUGUCAAAAUAGAUGUAUUGCCAAUUGCUAUAGAUGCAUAUGGUUGACAUGAAGAAGUCAAAAAUGACAUUUGGUUCCUUGUAGGCAGUCAAAAAUGAAGAAGUCAAACAAUAUUGAUCUGAAAUCAAUGCGGGAAAGGGCUACGAAGACACACGGGUAGAUUCCCUUGUGAACUUUUUAUGUCGUUCGUCUAAAUAUAUUUUUGCAAUGGGCAUACCCUACUCUGAAAUCCUGGGUCCGCCACUGAUGAUGAUGGUCUAAACAUAAAACAAGCCUAGAUUAAUUAGCUACAACUGAAAUUAAGCAAAGGUUAAUGUCAUUGACCCUAGCUCUAUCCUAGCUUUUACUAAAGUCCCGGCACAUAUAGUGGUUGGGCCCACUCUCUCUACUUCCCUCUCUGCUGCAUGCACACACACGAGCAACUGGAGGCCCAACAAAGCCCAGAAGGGUUCGGCCGAACCCGUCCGAUCCAGUCUGAGCGCCGCUCCCUCCCAGCCUUCGCGCAGAUGCUCCUCCAACGUUCCUUGACCCCUCCCUCAGUGUCCCAUUGGGUUUAACAUUGUAGGAGAGGAGUCCCUUUUUUAAAAUCUCAACCACCUCCUCUCCUCAUUCACUCCACUCUCAUCUCCAUCAAACUCACCAAGAUCCACAUCGGAAAUACCUGCUUACCACCAUGGCUGGCAAAGCCCUCGUCCCUUUCACCAACUUGGGCUUGACCAUUGAUCUCGAUGGGAAAAUCACUCCAGCAAAUGUCAUUGUCCCUGUCGGCGAUCUGGCGAUGGAGGAGGUCCAGGCACUAGAGGUCGAGCCCCUAGCCAUCAUACCGCCCAAGGGGUAAAGCAGGAGCAUGACAGGCGCUGCUAGGGGUUCAGCCGAACUCCCAGUUCAGCCAAACGAGGACGGCGUCGCCUCGGCCUCCCGCUCGACUGCAUGCUUCCCCUUGCCAAGGAGGACUCCAGAACAGCGGGCGCGUGCGUCAAGUCCCUACAAAAGGCUGAAAUACAAUGAAUAUCCAGGGUCACCCUUGAAGAUGGGUGAACGCUACGCCGGGUCCUUGUUUGACUAGUACGGCGAUGCAUUCUGCCACCGCUAUGUCGUUGUCGAGAUUAGCGGAUCAAGACUUAGACUAGUAAAUUUCUUUUAUGCGCGUAAGGCUUCAGAUGGUGGCGUGGGAGACAUGGGUUUUAUACUAGUUCGGGCAAUGGAAUACCCUACGUCCAGUGUCUGGAGCUGCUUGUGUUGCCCACGCGGGGUUCUGUAGUAGGGGUUACAGGUGUGCGAGAGAGGGAGCUAAUCCCAGGUCUCUUAGGCGUGUUCCGGUCCUCUAGAUGGGAGAAGUGUGUUCUGUUUGCUUGGGAGUAUCGGUUGUGUCUGAGUUGUCUCCGGAGCCUCCUCCCGUCUCAGGUCCCCGAUUCUCCUUUCAUAGCACAAGGAGACCAUCGGGGUUACAGACGAGACCGAGCGUGGGGAGGAGUAAAGAGAUAAACAUAGCUAGGUAAAAAUACAACAAGAAAGGGGGGAACCAAGUUUCUAGGUCACCGGCGUCCUCGCCGGCCUUCGACUUCCGCCGGCGCAUUUGUCGGAGGAGGGUGGCCGCCAUCGCGUUCUGUCGAUGGCUUCCUCGGUGACUGUAGCCACCGGGCGUGAUGAUGGCAUUUCGUCGUGACCCUUUGUCUGUUGGGGGAGGCGGCGGAUCCUGCCAUUCUGCUGACGGCUCGCGGAGUGCGAACGUCGCAUCCCUGCCGCUGGGCACGCGGGGCGCGAGAACGUGCGAGGCUUCCCCCUACCCCAGGCGGCGCAGGCCAUGAGUGCCCUGUGGCAAAUCGGAGGAGGCCGCAGCUACUGUAGCUUGUACUGUGCAGCCACGUAUGGGUACUUGUGGCAGGUUGCGUGGUGGAUGCGGAUAUCCUUCUCCCUGACAGAUCUGCGGCGCAUUUAUGGCGAGAUCGACAUGGGGACCCACAAGACCCGCGCCCAAGGCGGAUACUUGUCUGGAGGGCCCGGGUUAGCCUGACCCCCUACGCUUGGGGUCGGGCGAGGCGGAGACUUGCGGCGGGGCGUCGGACGCUCCCGACACUAGACCUGCGGUCGCGCAAGGCGGAGCUUGGUCUUCCGGGGGUCGGGGGUGCCGGACCCCAGGAUGCGGGGUCGGGCGAGGUGGAGCGUAAUUCUUGCCUCCCAUGUUGGGCCGAUGGCAGUCUUUGUUACCUCUAGUGGGCUUGGGCCUUUAUGUUUUGUUGUUUCCAUGGGCUUCGAGAGGUCGUUAAUAUUUCCCCCCAACAGUAGCCCCCGAGCCUGUGGUGGAGUGGGGGCGCUCCUCCGGAGGCUACUAUCAUCGCCCCUAGGGAAUCCUCGCAGUUGAUCCGGGAUAGGAGGUGUUGUUUGCACGGCUUGACCGAGGGGGUCGAUUAGGCGACGCAUCCUGUGAGCGACUCGGUGCGGGAGGGUUUCUUGUUGUUCCCUUCUGUCUGAGAGCCUUAAGUCGAGACCACCUGCGUGGCCUUUGGUUGCAAGGCCAGCCCCCGAGCCCCCGCACGUUGCAGGGGACCGGUCGGAGGCUAGGUCGACUUUUGUUCAUUACCCUCAAGCGUCUGUUCGCUAGGACGGAGGGGGCGAGCCGUGCCAUGCUAUCCUCAUCGGACGAACCAUGGUGCUCAUUGAGUUACUAACGGGUUGAUUCGAGUGGGAUCCCGGUCCCCGUUCGGGGGGGGUCCGGCUUGGGCCAAGCUGGUGGCGUACCCCAGGCUCCGGUCGGCCAGUUCAUAUAGUUCCUGAGUCCGUUCGGUCGGACCGGGGGCUCAUUGCCUUUCUUCGGGGAAAAACCAUGAACUUUGAUGCCGGUCCAGACUCGAAUGUGAGAUUGAGACGCCCGGGGCUGUCGCGUGCCCGGGUGAUGGCCGCUAGCGGACCCGUCUCCUCUCACCCCUCACUCGGGGGUAUCCUGAGGCGGCUGUCGAACCCGUGGCGGGCCAGCCUUCGAACCUCUGGAUCGUAAUGGGCCGUAGGGGCGUUUUCAGCCCCGUAUCCCUUUUUACCUUUUGGUGGGCCUUGGGCCGAAUCAUGGAGGAGGUCGGGCCUUGGGCCGGAUGCGGAGGAUGUCGUGCCUUGGGCCGGAUGUGGGGGACGUCGUGCGUGUCUUCCGGGAGACGAAGUGGUGGAGGGUGCCAACCCGCGAAUCGAGGGAGGAGGGGAUGUUUCUACUGCAGGUCAUGCGCACGGUUUCCGAAAAGGCAGCGGGCGUGACGGGACGUACCUCGCGCCGCAUUUAUUGCGAUGGGGGCGUCUGUUCUGCUUCCCUCGUGCCUUCCCUAUAAAACGAGGACUUCGCCUCGCCGGUUCCGCCCGCCAUCUACCUUCAAGCCUUUUCGCCUCCUCGCGCGCCCUUAGCUUUCCUGUGCCCGCUUCGUCUUCCUCCGCCCAGUGCCGCGCCCUUUCUCCCCAUCCGCCGUCGAGUUCUUCUCCCUCCGGCGAUGGGAUCCUGGGCGCGUUCCCACUUCGGCCCCUCACGCGCCGAAGGCCUAGUGAGGAAAGGCCUCCUUUGCGAGAGGACGGAGACGGAUGAGUGGGGGUUCCCUGAGAUGGAAGAGGUGCCGACUCCGCCCACCGGCUACGUCGUUUCCUUUGCCCACUUCCACGAGAGGGGGUUUGCGACUCCGCCGAGCCUCUUCUUCCGCGGGCUUUUGUAUUACUACGGGCUUGAGCUGCAGCACCUCAACCCCAACGGGAUUCAGCACGUCGCGGCGUUCGUUGCGGUGUGCGAGGGGUUCCUGGGCAUUGAGCCCAACUUCUCGCUGUGGAAGUACUUCUUCACGGUCAGCCUAUACCAGAAGGCCGAGAAGAGGGGAAGCCAGCAGCGGUCGACCCCGGUGCCGAUAGGGUGCGUCGGAAUCCACCUCUGCCAUACUCGCGCCAAGGAGUAUAUCGCGAUGAAGACCGCGGCAUCCCACAAGGGGUGGCACCAGCAAUGGUUCUACGUGAAGAACUACUCCAACCCCCCCUGCCGGAGUUCACCGGCCGCAUUAUUGAAGCGGCGCCGGAGGUGUGGGUGUACGGCCCGGUGGAGAAGGAGAAGAAGCGGAUCACCGGCCUGCUGCAGGCCAUCGAGCACCUGAAGGAGAGGGGACUGACCGGAGCCGGAGUCAUCGGGGCGUACCACGCCCGGCGGGUGGCGCCGCUGAUGCUCCGGGUCCGCUCGCUCGCCGACAUGACCCCCGGUGCUCUCACCGAUGGCACUGUCCUCGCGACGGGUGCUCUCGCUGCCUCCGAGAUCCGGCAGCGGAUCCGGGAGGCGCUGGAGGACAAGGACGCCGAUUACCCGGUGCCCGGCCACCCUCCGAUGCGCCCGGACGAGAAUUUCAUUGAUCUGGUAAGGAUUUUGCGCGCCAGUUUCCCUCUCUUGCGUUUCUUGGUAUGCCGUUCUGACGCGAGGCCCUCUGUGUUUGCAGGGUAGCAUGACCCGGGUCGUCGACUUGCGUCCGCCAGUGUCGGAGGACGCCGAGUGGCGGUAGCAGAACCGUCUCCUUGCCGAGAAGCAAAAGUGACGCAAGGACAAGAGACAGCGAAGAAGAAGAAGAGGGCCGCCAAGGAGUUCCAGCGGCGGCGGUGGGGAUAGGUCGUGUCGGAUGACGAUGACGAUGAGAAGGAGGAGGAGGAUGACGAGGAGGAGGAGGAGUUUAUCCUGUCCCCCCGGUCAGGGGCGCUUGUUAUCCGGGAGCCGCGCUCCCAAGCGGCCAUGGGGGACAAGGCGGGCGAGCUGCCUGCCCGGACCCGAUCCUGCGAAGCUUUGGGGGCGCGCCCCAGGGGUCGGCGCAGAGCGCCCCCCGGGGGUCGACGGAGCCGACCCCCAUCCCUACACCUGCAGCCCAGGAGCAGAGGAGCAGCGACAAGCGGCCGUUGCCAGAUGCCCCGGGGUCGGCGUCCAGCUCAGAGGCGAAGCGCGCGCGCCGCCCUUGCGCUGGGGGAACGUGAGUUGAAUUUCCUUGCGAAUCUCGUUCCUUUCCAUGCAUUGUGUUUGUUUCCGCUGAUGCUGUUUGUUGUCUCACAGCACCGCCCCUCAAGGCCUUGUCCCGCCGUUGGCGCCAAAGAAGGCGUUGCGGUGUUGUCGCCUCUGCGGGGCGGACCGCGGCUCCGCCGGCGGCGAGUGGCGGGGUCACUGGUGAGACCGCGGGUCCUACCGCGGAGGUGGCCCCUGCGGCGGCAACCGGUGGAGUGGUGCCACCGCCGGGCAUGGGACAGGGUCUGGACCCCGCUCCGUCCUCCGCCUCUUCGGCCGACCCCGCGGUGCAGAGUAUCGCUCCUGGGGGCCCUCAGGCCGGGGAGGUGAUUGACCUCGACGCCGACGAGGUGGAGGAGACGGCGGCGGUGGAGACGGGGGCGGUUGCCCCAGCGGCCAUGACGGGGACGACGACGGCGACGGGGGAAGGAGAGUCUACCCCCGCGGCCACGGCGGGGACAGUGGCGACAGAGGAGGCGGGGACGCCCGCCCCGGCGGCUGCGACGGAGGAGGCGGCGGUGACGGAGACGGGGGCUUCCGCCCGGGAAGCCACAGCCGAGGUGGCAGCGGCGACGGAGGUGAAAGUGCCUGUUCUGGAGGCCACGGUGGGGGUGGGGACGCCUGCCUCGUGGCCACGACGGAGGGCGAGGCGGCCCCAGGGACACUUGCUCCGGCACCCGCGUUGGAGGCGGUGGCGCCGACGGGUUGGCCCGUGGCGGCCUCGACGGGGGCGGGGGUGCGUGCGCCGGGACCGUCGGUGAGGCCGGCGACUUCCGGGAUGGUGGUGCCCGUCUUGACGGCGGCGGCGGCGCGGUCGGCCCCCGCCCUUGCCUCUACCACUCCCAUUCCCAAGGCGUGGAGCGGAUCCGUCCUGCGUUGGUCGUCUCGUGACGACCCGCAGAGGCCCCUCUUCACGUUGGAUGAUGCCACAGAAUGGGGCAAGUGGCAGGCGCUGCAGGGCGGACUCGCUAACGUCCGCGCCGCUCUAUCUUCGGCGUUGGGGGAGCUGGACGGCGUCAUCUUCCCCGGUGGCCGGGUAUGGUGCUUUCUCCGUUGGUUAUUUUCUUCCCGUUACUUCGUCCCUGAUGGCACAUUGUUCUGCAGGCCCUCCAAGAAUGUAGCCGGGGAAAAUCUGAUUUCCUUUGGCUCGAGCAGGGGCUCUGGGAGCGCUUCAACUUGGAGUUGCAGCGGACCGGGGAGCUGACCAUGCAAGUCGCCACCGUCUAGCAUGUCAUCGACGAUCUGCGAAGGCACGAGCAGGCGGCACAGGAGGACGCGCGGCGGGCGGAGGCCAAGUUCCAGGUCGUUGCCGAAAGGGCUCGCUGCGACCGCGAGGAGUUCCAGGCCGUUGCCGAAAAGGCCCGCCACGACGCUGAGGAGCUCGCACGGCUGAAGGUGCAGCAUGAAGCUCUUCAGAAGAGCGGCAGAGGGCCUGGCAGGACCGGGACGCCGAGAAGGUCCGGAAGGAGGAGGCUGAGAAGGUGGCGGCCAACCUUGGGGCUGAGGUCAGCCAGCUCCAAGUGCAAGCGCGAGAGCUUCAGGCCUCCGUGGCCCAGGGGCUCGACCAGGAGCGCCAGCUGAAGGCCUAAUCCGAGGGUAUGACUCUGUUUAUUUCUUUGUCUUUGUGAUGUUGCGGUGAUAUUUUAUUUGGCGGGUUCUUCUGGAUGAUCCUUGCAGAUGAGCUCAACUGGCUGAGGGAGGUGCUUGACGCGGAGCGCGCUGAGCACGGCGACCUGCGGGACGCGGUCCGCGUCAUCUGUGACUUCCUUAGUGUGGUCCAGGGGGAGGGGACGAGCUCGCUGGCGGCUCGUGUCCUCGGGACGUACCGCCGGACCAGCGAGAUCGCCCUGGAAGCGCUUCGCACCGGCUUGAGGCAAGCCUUUGGGGUCUUCGGCUCCCACUAUUCCGGCAUCAACUUCGCCGGGAUGAGCGGGGGAUACGCCACCGGCUACUACGAGGCCGAGCUGGAUGAGAUCGACGUGUCGGUGCUCAGCCCGGCGGAGGCCUUGGUGAAGCUCCUCGAGGAUGAGGCCGUCCCGCCCGAAGAUCCCCGGACGAGUUAACUAUAUCGGGCUGGCGCCCCAGAUGUAAAUACGUUAGGGAAAGACUUGUUUUUUGUGAGGGCCGUAGAGGCCUUUUCUAUGAAUUGUCGUAAAAAAGUUUUUGAUUCCCUUUCUUGCUUUUUGGACUUGGAAAGUUUAGAGCACGUUGUCGGGCGUGUCAGUAAGCUUUGAUGAGCGAAGGCACCGUAGCCGCUGGGGCGUCGUUUUUUUUGCAGUCCGAUCAAUCUUGCCUGAACACCGUUCGUGCACUUUCUCCUUUUUAUGCCCAAAAGUUCAGAAAGAGGGUCGGCUCGGAAAGAGAAAGCGUUUUGAGAGGGUGUCAAGUGGCUUAGGUACUUGCGGCAGGUUGCGUGGUGGACGCGGAUAUCCUUCUCCCUGACAGAUCUGCGGCGCAUUUAUGGUGAGAUCAACAUGGGGACCCACAAGACCCGCGCCCAAGGCGGAUACUUGUCUGGAGGGCCCGGGUUAGCCCGACCCCCUACGCUUGGGGUCAGGCGAGGCGGAGACUUGCGGCGGGGGGUUGGACGCUCCUGACCCUAGACCUGCGGUCGGGCGAGGCGGAGCUUGGUCUUCCAGGGGUCGGGGGCGCCUUACCCCGGGAUGCGGGGUCGGGCGAGGCGGAGCGUAAUUCUUGCCUCCCAUGUUGGGCCGACGGCAAUCUUUGUUACCUUGGGUGGGCCUGGGCCUUUAUGUUUUGUUGUUUCCAUGGGCUUCGAGAGGUCGUUAAUAUUUCCCCCCAACACUAUGAGGAGGACUUGUGGGCAGAAAGUCAGCUACCACAAACUUGCCUCUGAAUAUUUGGAGUGCAAACAUUGGAUGGUGGUUGUGGAGAGCCCCAGCCAUACCUCGCACCCGUGGAGAGGUAAUUGUCGGAUUGCUUGGUUCGUCUCUAGAAUGCGACAAGGUCAGGCGCCACCUCUCACUGCUGCCAGUCAGAAGGCCGAGGGGCCAGUUUCAACAUAGUAAUGAGAAUCUCCGAAGGCCAAUAUGGUUAAGCAGCUAACCUCCAUGAUCAUAGACUUACGUUUAGAAAAUAGGAGGCUUAGCGAUGCGUUAACAGAGCAGAAGUUAGAAACAGAAGAACUUAAGGACGACUUCCGUGUCCUCCGCCUUGGUCUUUGUGCUAAGAUAAAGCGCUUGUACAAUGCCACGGGGAAUGACGGUCUCUACGAUGCAGCUCAAUAGACGUGCCCCUUGUAUCCUUUCCUUUAGGCACUUUAGAAUAUGUUUAUUUGUUUUCCUUCAUUUUAAUUUCCAAUAGAUUGUUAGCGCCUCCAAUUUAAUUUCAAUAAAGUGUAGACUCACCGGUCAUCCAACUUGAUGGAGUCCUUUUGUCACCUAGUUGUCUUUGGAAGAAGUAGCUGGGUACAAAAUAAGUGUGGGGGAGAGCCACAGACUCUCUAGAGCUGAAACAAUGCACAACACCCACAAAUAGAGAAAACCACGCUGCACCAGCACGUACGUGAAAGUGGAGCCAGAGCUGGACCCAUAGGGGUUUGGCCAACCCAAGGGGUGGCCCACUCGGGCCAUCUUCAUCCACCGCGUCGGUUUGUGUCUCUUUACCCCUGAUCUCCCUGAUUCAUGAGUUUGAAUGAAUUUUAAAUCUGAUCAACUAAUUCAAACUCAACUAAAAUGAAUCAACUGCUCCACCUGCUCUACAUGUUUUCUAUGGUUGGCUUGCAUAUGUUUUAUUUCAUGCUUAUCAUCUUGAUGCUUGUGAACAAAUAUCUUUAGGACAGCAUGCUCAUCUAAGUAGUUGAUGUGUAUGAUAUGGUUCGAUGAUAUGAUCUUCACUCUUAAUGCUUAAGUGCUUGGGAAAAUCUAUUUGAAAAUUUAAAAGCCUUUUUGAAAUCUCCUCUUUGAUGUGCCAAAGUCCUACCAAAGCCAUAUGAUAAGUUAUCUUGAAAAACCAUUUGCAUAUGUUGCUUGUCUUUGCAUUGAGCUUUGUCAAAUUGGUGUGACCCUUGUCACAAUUCUUUUCAUACUUUCAUGAUCAAGACUCAUGUGCACGCCAUAUACCCCUUGCUAUGCUUCUAUGAGAUGUUAGCAUUGUACCAUCCAUUCAUUCCACAAAAUAAAUGCUCCACCAUAUGUGUUGGUCUCCUUCUAAGAUUAUUGUUACAAAAGAGAUAUGGGCUAUCAAAAAAAAAUAUGAAUGUCCAAGAAAGUUGGACACAUGAAUGUCCAAUAAAAAGAAAAAGAAAGAUAGCCAUGUCCUCAGAAAUAUUUACAAAGGGAGAGAGAUCAUACAAAAAGGAGUUUCCAUUCCAUCCACCACAUCCAUACAUGUGCACAUCUUGAUCUGAUUGUAUGACUUAUUUUUCUCUUUGGAUCUGGUCUUUGACUUUGCAAUAUAUGUGAUGCAAGCAUGCCUUAUCCUUCAUAGCCUACCUUGAGCUCCACAUAUAGCCAUCAUUAGAAGUAGGAUGAAGAAAGGCAAGUCUAAUGCCUUGGUGAGGACAUAUACACAUUGAGUGAUCUGAGAGAAUCAAAUGAGGAGCUAAGCAAGGUUUUGUUUUGAAAACUAAUUGAAAAAUCCCAAGCUACUUGGCAUAAGGAGUUGAGGUGACUUGAUUCAAGACCAUUACAUUCCUCAACUACCCAAGAUGGCAUGAUAGACACUCCAAAGUUCACAAGUGCAGGUAUGGUUUGGAAUAUCUUUUAGGCUCGCUUCAUACCUUUGAAAGUUAUGUUUCACCUUAGUCCUUUCUCGUUCACUCAAGGAUAAGCAAAGGCUAAGUGUGGGGGUGUUGUUGAUGGCUCUUAAGUACAAAAUCUGCGCCAUCAACUCUUGCAUAAACACAUAAAAUAUGAGCAUCAACAAUAGUGGUAGGAGUUAUUACAAACGAAUUCCACAAGUCUUGGUGAAUAUUUGUAUGCAAGCCCAAUAGGAGAGAAAAGACACCUCAAAAGCAAGGAAACACACUCUCAACCAAUCAAGAGCAAGCACAUGGAACCAUGGGCCCACAACCAAAAGGAAAUCGACUACAUUCCAAACACCCUAUACCCACAUGAGAACCCAUAGGGCAGUGACCCAGAGCAAAGGUGAUGCCAGAGUGUAGAUGGUAGUUAGCAUGCCAAAUUUUGAACCGCAAGCGCUCGGAUUAGUUGUUUCUUUUCCCUUAGAGAUUCCCCCAAGGUUUAUCAAUCCAUGGAACAAGGGAUUUGCACGUUUCACUAAGCACUAAUCAAUGUAAUUGAAAGCUUUUCGAAUAAGAUAUGAUUAUGCUAACAAAGGAACUAAGCAAUCUAGAUUAAGAUGGAUAGAGAGUACAGGUUGUGAACAAGAUAGAUUAAACGCUUGUAGAUGCAAUCACCAUGCAUGAAUGAAUUAGAUCUAGGUGUUAUUGUGAGUGGUUGUGAACCAUGCCCAACACUUUCCCACCCGCAACAUUGUCACUACAUGUGGGUACUCAACUAUCGGAACAUAAGAACACAUCAAGAUGAUCAUUCUAGGUAAGCAAAUAAGCAACCCAAAGUAGCGCUGGCCAGCCUUUUCAUGAAAGAGCAUCAUCAAGAUAAGAUUGAUAACAAAAUAGAUCUCAACCAAAGGUUCAGCGAUUACAAAUCAAGAUCUUCGUAUAACCCCGAUGACAAAUAGAGGUAUUACCCCCAUGAUCUUACACAUGUUGAUGAAUUUUAGGGUAAAGGACACCCUGUAGAUCAACUGGACCAAAGAUGAUGAUGAACGGGGGCAGGGAAGGCCCAGGUUGAUCAGCCUGCGCACUUUUGAGCCGAUCAGCUCAGGGGGUUUCCUCCUCCCCUGGUGCUCCUCUUCGCGUGGCCUCCUCUGGAUCCAAUCUUCUCUUCAUUUCUCCUACUUGUGGCGGCAAUGGAUGGUGUUUGCAUGGUGAUUUCCUCUUCUCCCCAACUCUCCCUCCUUGAAGUCCAUGAGGGGGUAUUAAUAGUCUCCAAUAGGCGGCAGCUCUGGGUCAAUGUCAGUGAAAAAAUCCUAGAGAUCAUCGUACACUUCAUGCUGAGGAAACAAGAGGUUGACCGAGCCCUGGGAUAGACCAAGAGGAUCAUCCUAGAGGGUCCCAGGCUAAUCGGUCUAGGCCCUUCCUAGCCCUUCUAGUCCUCUCCUUCCUCGUGCUGGCUUUUCUCGAUGACCCUUGUCCAAAUAUCCAUGAAGCUCUAUAUACAUACCCCCUUGAUUAUGUUGUAUUUCCUGUCAAAAUACAAUGCUCCAAAAUACAACACAUAUGCAAUAAUAGGGUUAUUUCAGGUGCCAAUUGGUGGGUUAGUAUACGAAUAAGCAUGAAAAUACUGUUUAAAUGACACUAAAAGUGUGUCAAUAACGAGCACCAACAAUCCCCCCACGCUUAGAUCUUGCUCGUCCUCGAGCAAGUCUAGCGACUAAAAGAUCUUGAAUUAAACCUGAGCAAGCGAGUCAAGUACCUAGCCUUGAAACAAAAGAUUAGAGGAGCAGCAAAGAUAAUCAAAGUCUGGGUGUUCAAAGAUUUAUCUAAGCAAAGAUUCCCCUACAACUAUUAUUCAGAACCAAGUAACUUCAAAAAUCAACUACACUUAUUUUCUGGCUUUUUUCAGAGGGUUUUUCUUUCAUCAUAAAACAAUCUCCCUGCAACAAAAUUGAAAAAAGAAUUAUUUUCAAGGUGCUUACAUGUCGCUUAAAUGAAUGUUGGCUAUCCUACUUAUUUGCAAGCUCUCAUCUCUCAAAAUUCAUUCAAUUAUAUGGUGGAGUUUGGGUAAGGUUAGCUAGAAUCAACACGUAUAUUAUUGAAUUAAGAAAACCCUCUAACGGUGGCCUACCUUCCGAGCCAUUGAUCAUAAGAAUAUCCACAUAAUGUGAAGUUUUCAAGGAUGAGAAGAUAUAGAAUGGUGGACAUGUGCAAAGGCAAAGAAAUAUAGUGACUCUGAGGCACAAGCAAUGUCCUCGUCGUUGGAUUGCAUAUGGUUGUAAUGAAAAUAUGUUCCUUAAACAAGUCUAUCUUUUCUUUGCACCACUCUUGAUCUUCAUGACAGUAAAAACUCCUCCUUUAUUUCUUUCUCUCUUUUCCUAUUAUUUCUUUUUAUUUGUCUCAAUACUUUUAUUUCUUUAUUUCUUUAUUUUAAUCUCUUCUCUGAACCUCUUCUGAACACCACAUAAUAAAAAUAAGUUUUAGAUCCUUCCAGAGACCUUCCAGGAAUUUGCUACAUGAAAACCGAGGCAAGGAGACCCCAGGCCGAUUGGCCUAGCCACUCCUUUGCUCUCCUCUAGCUCUUCUUUCUGGUGAAGCUUCCUUAUCUUGUAUCUUUCCAAAAAUUUCAUAAAGCUCGACUAGAAACGGAACAGAUCUUCAUAUAAUGAGUUGUGUUCAAGGAAUUGGUAAUAAAAUUGAGAAAUUUGUGGUUCGGGUUUACGAAUUCAGUACAAAAAUAUGAUUGUUCCAAUGAAGAACUCUCAUUACUGAAUAUUGACGAGGCAAGCAUUCAAAGAUGGUAAAAAGGAUAUGAUCAAUUCUCAAAAUUAAAGCAAACCAAGAGAGAGCGAUCCUAAUUCAAUUCAAAGUGUCAAAUGUUGCUUAUGGUGGUAUGAAUAAAUAUUUUUAGGCAUUGGGUAGGAUAAAUAAAAACUCUCAACCUGGUUAAAAGAUAUUGAUCAAUCUUGUUUUUGCAGAGGUUUUAAAUAAAAAAUAAAAUUUUAAAUCACCUCCAAUUCAAAGCCUUACUCAUAAAUCAUAAUCAAAACUGAAGCACUUGAUCAUCAUAAAGCAUGGGUAUUGCAUAAACAAAUCGAUUACUAAAACUCCACAACUACGAUUUAGAAUUCAAGACAAUGCUCAUAAUCUAAAGUUGCAAAGAUAAAAUAAAAGACAACCAAGCCAAGGUAGACACUAAAAACACUUGCACGAUCCUUGAAUUUUAUUCAUGCUUCUUCUCACAAAGACGCUAAAGUAGCCAUGUAGGCCUAAGUCUUCCCAAAAGCUUAAGAAAACUACUACUUUAUCUACUUUUGGUUGAAAUAAAAAGACUAAUCUAGACUCUCACAUGAUUCGACUCGACCAAAUUAGAUCCAAAAACUCAUACGAGCGACGAUCUCCCCCCCCUCACGCUUAAAAUCUACGACCUCCUCGUCGUAGCCAUAUGGAGUACAAGGAAAAGAAGCUUGUAAACGCUCUAAUGACGCUACCCGCACUACUUGCACACGGGAUGGUUGCUGCUUCCUUCGCUUUGUUCUUCCUCAUGUUGCUGCACAUCCCGAAGAGCUUCCUCACGUUCCUCUGCAAGAACUUGAACUCGUCCUCCUGACGGCGAUCAUUAUCUUCUGCCUUUUGAUCCAGAGCUUGUAAGGCUUGCAUGAUGUCAUCGAACGCAUCGAAGAGGUAGUGGAUGUUCUUCCUGCAAGCUGUGGAACAUGUACGAUCAUGCUCCUCCGAUUCUGGCCCGUCGUCUUCUAGAUCCUUCUCUUUGCCCUUGUCUUGACGGUGGCUAUCUUGCUCCUUGCUCGCCUUCUUGCCUUCAGCCCAAUCCCAGUACGUGUUGUCAUCUUCUUCAUCGUCACGGCCUGCAGCACCCUAUGAUCCAUUGUCUAUCUUGUAUGAAAGAAUCAGAAGCUUGUUCUCCUCAGGGUGUCUUGCGCGGUGCAGCGUUUGCAAGUGCAAGACUUGCUAGUUCCUUUUACACAUUGUAAUGUUCAUUGCAUGCUCUAAUUGUUCUACAUUUGUAAUUUCUUGGUGAAGUUUGGUUACUGAUCCACUGUUUGAUUAACUCUUGGGCCCAAACACUGUACUACUUCUGAUUAGAUAUCUGUAUCUUGACUUUGACCAAAAAAAAUAUCCGGCAGUUUUUGCCAUUAAAGUUUCAUAAAUCAUCUUGCAAAAAUCGUACUAUACAACAAGGGACGGUUUAUUAUAAAAUAUACGUUCCCCUUAUCACAUGCCACUUCCACUCAAAAGGCAACGAAUCAGUUUUCAAUCCUGAGUGAGCAAUUUGCUUUUAUUACCGAUGCCUCCUAUUCCCUUGUGCACCAAGUUUAUUUUGGAUAGGGCUGCAAAAAACGACUAACCAGCUCGGAUUCUCCACCUGCAAAACCGCAUCUGCAGCAACCAACCCCACGCGGUGGAAAAAAAAACAAAACCUAGAAACCGGACGGGGGUGGAUGUGGGGCUCGGAGCCCAAGCAAAAAACGGAUCGGGAGCGCCGGAGCAGGCCAUCACCGGAUGUUAGAGAUAGAAAAUGGUUGAAGUUUGGAGUGGAAAUCAAACAAGCCUUGGAGCAAAGGAAAAAAAAAGAUCAAACCACUCAAGCAUUCAUUUGAUUUAGAAAAGAGAACAUUUGUUAAGGUGGGGAGUUGAAAUCAUCUUUUAAUUAGUUCCACGUAUCUGGUAUCAUUACAGUUGGUUUACUUGUGUAAGUAUAAGUAGCUCUGCCGAAGCCUUUGCUCCUAUAAUUUAGUAACUAGUACAAAUGGAUCAAUAGGAAAAUCAAGUUGCAAUCAUUUCUCAGCCAACCAAACCUAUGUAAAUCAAAUUAUUGUCCAUGCCCGGCAUGCACAGGUGCCUGCCAUGCAUGCAUUGUUGCUCCAUUGUAAUAACCAUUAUUGUCCAUCGAUGUUGCAGCGCAUGUGUGCACUGUGCAGACACCAAGCAUCGAGAUUAUGUACUAGUAAGGUGUUGAAAUAAUGGGCCUAGCCCAUAAGUAAUUUCAGAAUUUCAAAUAAAUCUCAAAGGCCCAUGUGGGCAAGAGGUGGAGUGGUGCAAGUCUUUAGUCCCACAUUGCUAGUCGAGGGGAGGGAUGACCAACUUAAAUAUGGAAGUUGUCUCCACUCCUCCAAGCUAUGUGUGAAGGGCGCGGGCGCGAGGCACUUGCGUGAAUGGUCCGCCGAAAUCUGGCCCCCCUUGCGGGGGCGCGGCUUCCUUUUGCCGUUUUAUUUUUUGGUUACUUGGUCGUUAAGUCAUGGAAUCCUAACCGGUUUAGAUCACGAUCGUGAAGGUUUUUGGGAAGCGCUCUGCGCGACUGCUCGAUCGCUUCUUCCGCUUCGUCAAGUUCUUCGUCGACUCCUUCACCACGGCUCGUCUACCUCUUCGUCGCUCGGGCCUCACUCGUCGUCGCGAACAACGUCAGGCUGCUGAUCGUCGUCGCCUGCUGUAUCCGGUAGUCGUCCAGGAGCCGGUUUUCAUCAAGAAAGAAACGUACGGUCUCUUAACUCACAUUAUGUCUUCCAUACUAGCUAUUAUGAUUGUUGCAGUCUGAUAGCUCUGGAUAGUAUGGUAGAAUGUCUGAUUCUAUUUGCAAUGAUAGACUUGUCUAGAUCUUGCGUAGACAUGUCUAGUUUAAUCUGCUGCUUGUUCAUCAUAUUCAUGAUUUAUUUCUGGAUUAAGUUAAAACUAAAAGUGCUUAUAUAUCCAACAUAAGGUACCAAGAACACGUGAAGCACCCGGGGGAGGCUGCUCCACUCCGCAUGCACAGGUGGGCACGGCACCACUACUCGUCUCCUUCAGGCUGAGGAUAAGUGAUGUACGCUGAUCAACAGACCACGACGGAACCAGCAAUAAUAGUUUCAGCCUGCCUCACAGUAAUUAAUAUAUCCUGUAUCCUCCGAGGACCCCUCCCCUUAAUCUUGGCCUAUUGCAUCCAAUAAUGAUAUGUGUGUUUAUCCAAAUUUACGGCACCUUUGGCGGGGGUUCCACCCAGCUCCGCCCUCUCCACCUUCGGUACUCCAUGGGAAACCAUUCCUUUGGAAUCAAGGAAGCUUGAACAGUAUAACGAAUAAAGUUUCAUAUAUCCAUUUGAUUUCACAUGAAAUAAAAUAUUCUGUCAGAACCAAUGGUUUCACUGAAGCUCCAGGCAGCGAGCGAAGGGGUGAGAGAGGAUAACGCUUACUGUGUGUUACCAUCGCGUGCACCAUGGAUGACCAACGCGCAGCCGAGAUGAAACGGCGGACCUAAACAGGUCCUCGCUAUUUUUGCAGGUUCUCGACCAGGCCAGUUCUUUAGGCCAACCUAUCAUUCACGAGUUAAACAUACGGUGGCUGGAGAAAUGUUCUAUUCUUUUAAACAAUACCAGCUGGUUCCUCCGUUUUUAUUCCACCAAUACAAGCACCACCUUGUAACAUUUCCUAUGUUUUUUUUCCUUUCGUCUGUUUUCUCACUACAUGCGUUGCUCUUUCAUGCAUUUUUUUCCAUUCCUGUAUUCCAAAUAGGUCUACAUGAACACAAAAUGAACUAGGGGACAGAAAAAGCCAGUGAAGUUAGUUUUGAGCUUCACCAGCUACUUGCUACAUAAAGUGUGCUAUAGUCGCAGAAAAGCUAAGCUGGAUCAGACGUGGCCGAAACAAUGCCAAAGAGCUAGGUCCCUAGCUGAUGGCAACACAUCAGAUGACUAGCCUGCUUUUCUGUAAUAAUGAUAUUGAGCAAUACACUGCAUGGCUAACCUGCUUUACAAUAAUUGUCAUUUUAUAAUAUUGGUCAUCACGAGAGAUGCACAUUGCAUACACCGGCCCAUCCCUAUAAAUAGCCAAGCCUUUCAGCCAUCUUGGGCACCUCCUCUCAGGGCCUCGUCUCACCAUCAGACAUCUCGUUCCCAGUUAUAAUUUGCGAGGUUAGAUCAGGCUGCGCCAUGGCGUCCGCAACUGCUGUCAAGAUCGUCGCCACCUUCAUGCUGGUGCUGACCAUGGGCCACCUGAUGGCCGAAGCAUCACCGCAGCCUCGGCGUGUGCUUGCAGAAACGGAGCAUGCUGCGGUGUCCGGGAAUCCUGGCCUCCCAGGUGAUGCUAGCGUCAUGCAGGUCCUCGAACCCGCCCUAGUUUCUCGGCUUGCCUGCAAACCAGAGUGCACAGUCCCUUGGCCUCCUUUUGUAUGUAUCUGCUAGAUCCUCUUCCUGGCUCAACGGAACUUCAGGGAAAUGGCUGUGACGUCGGCCAAAGAAUAAAUUGGAUGAACAUAAUAUACCCCGGGUAGUGUAGCUUGGGCUUUUGUUGAGCGUCUGGUGCUAGUUGUAUUUUGUUUGCUCAUGUGGCUUUGCUUCUGGUUGCAUAUUGGCUUUCCUAUCGCUCUCUGUUGCAGCUAUGGUUUCUGCCAGGUGUGUGUUAAUGCGGUUUGUAAGCGGUGCUUGUUCCUACCUUCUGUUUUCAAUAAAAGAAGUCGGAGUCUCCCUCCGACUCUUGUUAUCAGUCAACAAAAAUGAGUUGUAUCAUAUAUAUCUGCGUCUUUUUUCUACGUAUCUUUGGGCUGCUUCAGCUGGAAGUUUAUCGUAAGUACGUGUAUCAGGAUGAUCGUUUGAAUUAAAACGAAAUGAUAAUGUGUGGCUGCUAGAAAUGGAAUGAGCAUCUUACUAUAUUACUAAUUGGAAGCCUCCACGUGAAGCCACCUAGAAAUUCUAGGUGGACGUUUUAAAAAAAACAAAACUCAUAGAAGCCUCCACCACCUAGGAAUCCUAGGUGGACACUCUAAAAAGAGACAAAUCCUAGAAAUUCUAAAAAAAGAAAAAAAUAAUAACAAUAAGAUUUUUUUGCAGUCAAUUACAUAUAUUUUUUUGAGACACCGUGCUGCUAGCUCUUGCCAUUGCGACCAGUAAAGCAAGCAGAUAGUAAGAUGACAUGCGUGUGGAUUGAUUAAAACAAAUUCAGUUAGUUGAUUCUAAAUCGUAUGUAUCCUAAAAGGAAGAUAUGUGCGUGCAUGGUCCCUAGCGAUGACAUGUAGACAUGUAUUGCAAUUUCUUUUUUAAAAAACAUGUCUAUCUCUAAACCAACAAACAGAAAAAAUAUCAAUCUAAAUCUAAAUCUCUUCCGUUCUCACACGCCUAUUAAAGAGAAGACAACCAAUCCCAUCCAUGUUCCAUAGAAUCCAUCUAAAAGCUUGCUCACUGCGGACGGCAUUUGACGGCAAAUCAAUGAAAGAUCAUCCUCUCCAAAUAGCUGGACGGCAUCACCAUCUUUAUCUCACCAACCUACAGAGCUACAACGAUGUUGUAGAGAUCAACUAGGUAACCUACCAAUCACCCUCCCCUUUUCUAUAUGCUCUAAAGAACACGUGGAGUAAUUAUAGGCCUAUAGGAGCCGACUAACCUAGAUUAAUAUGAAAAAUAUUCCAAUAUUAAAAGCAAGCAGAUAGUAAUACUUGCCUUUGACCAUUUUUCUAGAACUGUUAUUCCUAUUGAAUGUUCAAGUGCUACGGCCAGGCAUCGAAUGCCUGCACGGAACCUUCCUAUUGAAUGGUUACUCUAGAGAUCAACGCACCGCGAGACAUUUUUAUGGAAUUUGUUUGAUUCCCCUUCUACAAUUAGAUUAAUUUUUCAUGGCAUAUAUUACUACUAUUAAAUUAUUUGUUUAUUGUCGGGCCUGCUGCAUGUGUGGUAUAUAUGACUUGCUUCUCACCAUUGUUCUCAAACUAUUAUUCCUAUCGAAUCUUUCUAUCGAAAUAUAUUUUAAUUACUUGAUUGUUGUUUGUGUACCAUAACUUCUGUAUAGAAAAAUUCCAUGUUUGUAGAUAAUGUCUUUUGUAUAGAAAAAUAGCCCAAUUAGAUCCAUCACCAUCUUUUGCUUAUGUAGUUGAACAAGUUGCAAUGUUGAACAAAACUUUAAGUGAAAUUAGACCAGGAAAAGGAAUUGUGGAACAUUAAGGCAAGGGUAACCAGAUUGUGGAAUGCAACCUUACUCAGUAGUGGCGAACAAUUAAGUCUUGACAUGAUCCUUAUUGAUCAAAAGGUAUGAUAGAUGUUCACUUUGAUUGCAUUAUUGGUAUAAUUUUUGGUUUACAAAUUAUUAAUGAUGAUGCAAAAUUAGGGAACCAUGAUCCACGGUGUUAUCAAUAAGCCCUAUAUGAAAAAGUUCAAACCAUUGAUUGAAGAAGGCAAUGUGUACAUAAUUGCAAAUGUCAGAAUCACACCAGAACCACAGAAGUAUCGGCCAGUGGAAAAUGACAGGAUAGUCAACUUCUUACCCACAACUGCACUAAAAACGAUCAAAGAUACUGAAGACAUUCCAAAGUAUAGUUUUAACUUCAUGAGCACGGAUAUGCUUUCAGCAAGAAUAAAUGUGGACAUGUACCUAUUAGGUAAAACAUUACUGGCUUUUCAAUUUUUACACUUCCACUCAUUAAAUGACCAUCUAAUAAUAAUACAUAUUUAUGUUUCAUAGAUGUUAUAGGUAUCUCAGCUCACAUUGGACCGAUAGAAGAAACAAGGACAAACUUCGGAUUUACUAAAAUCCGUGAUAUUGUGCUCCUGAUCGAGUAAUUCUCUUUUCUUUUGUAGAAAACAACUACAAAACUUUCAACAUUUACAUGUAUGUUAUAGAACUUCUGUUGAACUAAAAAAUAUCUUCUACAGUGCCCCUACAAAUAAUUAAUUUCGUAGUUGGAUAUUUAAAAUAUUUAUUAUUCACUUUUAAAUUUGUGGCCAUGAAGUUAAAGUUAGAUUUUGGGGAGACAAAGUUGAGGAAGUUGAUGAUAAGACAAAAUCCCAUGUCAUUGCAAUAACAUCUACAACUGUGAGUAAAUUUGGCAGUAAGUCUUCAUUCAAUAUGAGUUAUUCAAUAUUAGUCAUUCAACAAACUAACCUCGUAAGAAAAAUAAAUAAUUGAUGUUUUAUCAGGGUAUUCUCUAUCGUCAACCAAUGCAACAAAACUUUAUGUAGAUCUACCUAUUCCUGAAACUAAGGAUGCACAUGAUAGGUGAGAAAAAUUAGAUAUUGUUUUUCUAUUUUAAUCUAUGUAGCAUGCACUCUAACAUGAUACAUUCUUUCAUAUGAUAAAAAAAUGUUAGUUCAAUUGAAAAUAUUGUCAAAGAGAUUCAUAUUGAGGACCAUCUAAAAGGGACAUUGGAAGACCAAAUGCAGUACAAUAGAAGAACUUUAGAAGAAUUAAAUUUCAUAUUAUUUGAAACAUCAAAUCAGGUAUGGAUUAGUAUGUUCAUUGUACACUAUACUAUUUAAAGACUUACAUACAUAAUGAUGGUAUUGUUCCUACUUUCAGGAUGAGGUAUUUACUAUUGAAGCAACAAUAAAUGAAAUUAAUGCAACAUAUGGUUGGUUGUCACACCCGAUUUUAAGGACAAAAUUGAGUGCAUUAAAUACAUGUGCACCAGGAUCAAGUUACACACAUCCUAUGAGUACCGUCCUUCUUUGGCACAAAGAUAACCGGUGCUCCCCAUGGUGAUGAACUAGGCCGAAUAAACUAUUUUGCUGAUAAUUCCUCUAGUUGUUGUUUCAAUUCUUUUAAUUGUUCAACCAACAUUCUAUAAGGACGUUUGGAGAUAGGUGCAGUACCAGGUAAAAGAUCAAUAGCAAAUUCAAUGUCGCGGUCAGGUGGCAUACCUGGUAAAUCGUCGGGGAACACAUCCGGAUAGUCACACACCACUUUGAUAUCUUCCAAGGAUUUUCCAGCCAACUGAUUAACUGCACAAUCUGCUGCUGAGGGUAGAGUAGCUACAAACUCCACUUUCUCUCCAUCAGGACCUGUUAGCAGAACUGUCCUCUUGGCACACUGAAUCGUUGCAUCAAAAGCGGCUAACCACCUCAUCCCCAGAAUUACAUCGAUUCCACUGGACUCAAGGACGAUAAGAUCAGCCGGAAACUCUAUACCCAUUAUUCUCAGUUUAACUUGUGGACAGAUGUAUUGAGCCUUCAUUGACCCCCCAGGUGAACUCACUAGCAUAUGACGCCUCAUGGUAUGCAUGGGUAAAUUAUGCUUUGCUACAUAAUGACUAGUGACAAAAGAAUGCGAUGCUCCAGAGUCAAAUAAAACUGAUGCGGGGGCAGAGUUGACAAAGAACAUACCAAGCACUACAUCUGGAGCCUCCUUAGCAGUCUCGGCUUCCAUGUGGUUCACCUUGCCACAAACAAAGCUUUGCUGCCCCUGAUUGCCUUGUGGGGUCUGGUUCCCAUUCCUCGGUUGCUGCAUCUGAUUCUGCCGAGGAGCACUGCUGUUCUGCACGGGGGUAGCUGGCCCACCUCUCUUAGGACAAGAGCUGGCAUAGUGACCAACCUCGCCACACUUGAAGCAGGUAGGACCCACUGGAGCAUUGGGCCUUGUUGGAGUGCCAGUAGGGGUCAUCUGGCGGUUCUGCGUAAAGCUUGGGCGCGGAGUCUGCAUAGUCUGCAUCCCUGGAUGCUGGAACUGAGGGCUAGGGCGCUGGAAUGACUGCUGAGCAGGGCGCGGAAAUGAGUGCUGCCAAAAAUUCCCACUCGGGCCCCCUGCGCGGAACGGCGUCCCUUGCUGUGGAGCAAAGCGAGGGCGGGUGUUGCUUCCUGAAGACUACUGGGAAUUGAAUUUCCUCUUCAUCUCCCCGAGCUCGUUCCUCUUGUGUUCCAGGCCAAUUGCCUUGUCUAGCAUCUUCUGGAAACUGGGGAAGGUGUGCGACAUAAGCUGAUAUUGGAGUGGUCCAAUCAACCCAUCCAAGAAUAGCUCCUGCUUCUGCUCAUCAUCAGCAACAUCUUCGGGAGCAUAUCGGGACAACUGGACAAACUUGUCCCUGUACUCUGCCACUGUCAUGUUCCCCUGCUUGAGAGCAAGGAACUCCUUCUUCUUAAGCUUCAUCAAUCCGGAAGGAAUAUGAUGACUUCUGAAGCUAGUCCUGAAUUCAUCCCAGGUGAUGCCAUUAGCAUUGGCAUGGGUGGUGGUGUAAGCAUCCCACCAAUCAGCAGCUGGCCCUUCCAGGCGUCCUGAAGCAUACAGGACCUUCUCCCUGUCAGUACAUUGGGCGAUAUCCAGCAUCUUCUCCACUGUUUUCAGCCAAUCAUCAGCAUCUAAUGGAUCCGGAGAAUGUGAAAACGUCGGGGGCUUGUGGCUCAUGAACUCCCUAUGCCUGUCCCUUGGCGGCGGCUGCUGCUGGUUGUUGUUGUUGUUAUUGUUCAGCUGAGCUUGUAAAGCUGCCACGGUGUUGGUCAGUCCGGCGAGAAGCUGAGUCUGAGCUGCUAGAAACUGCUCCAUCCCUGCAGGUGCUUGUUGGUUCUGUUGCGGAGCGGUGUUGGGAUUGCUGCUGUUGUCCCUGUGGCGUGGCACUGUGGGACGGUCAACUCCUGAUCCGGACCUGGUGUUUACCAUCUGAGCGUUAGAGACAAUGGAUUUAGAUAGAUGUGUGAAAGAAUAACUGAGAAAGAUAAAGCGACCAGAUGUAAAAGUAACACAGAUUCUGUUAGCUCCAUUUAAUUAGGUGUGGUCGUCAGAAGAAGUGUCCAUAAAUUCUGAACAAUUACCAAGUCGUAACUUAUUAAAUUUGUAAACCAACCCAACUGGAAUCAUCUCAAUCGGACUUCUGGAUCUCGAGUUACAAAAUUAACAAGCUGACAGUGUCGGUCGAUAGGUUCAGAUUCUGAGUGCUUUACUAAUUCGCAUACACCUCCCAGACAGAUACACCAAAAAUUCUGAAAAAUUUACAGAUAGUACUCCACGAAAUUCUGAAACUAACCCCACUGGUUUCAUGUCAUUUGGACUUCUGUAGCUAGAGAUAUAAAUAAAAAAGUACUGGCGUGUCAGUUAAUGUCGAGAACAGAAUUGAAUGUCGCUUAGCUUGCGUGAUGGAUAGAUUUAGACAGAUGGUAGAUCAUGAUUAAGGAAGAUUAAAUACUGAUUUAGAACAGAAAUAAAACCCAACUAAGCACUUUAUUUAUUAAGACCAGUAUCGUGUGGCAAUUGCCCCACAUACCGCACUCAUUACAAAAUCCAACUCAAACAUGUAGCACAAAACCAAUCAUCUAAGCACACUUUAACUAACACACUCGAACGACGUCUAACGAUUACAAGAAUUUAAACUAAAACACUCCUAAUUUCCUAGAGGUCUUCUGCGGCGGUGCCGGGCGAGUCGUAGCGGGGACGCUUAGGCGACGGCGACGAAGCGGGAUGAACAGCAAACUCCUGCGGCGGCGGUGCUCCCGUCGCGGCAGCCAUAUUCGCAUCCCUCUCCCACCGGAGUUCCUGAACCUCCUGUUGAAGCUCCUGGAUGUGGUUGUUUGCUUCAUUCAAUGCGGUGAGAGCUGCCGACGUGUACUUGCGGAGGAAGUCUGUAGCCAUGUCAACCCCAUCGUUAGUAGCGAUGAAGGUUCUUGCUUCCCCACUAGCUCGGUAAGGAAGGAACCGAUGGUAAGUGUGCUGCAAUCGCGGCCGUUCCUUGUGGGAGACGACCUCAAGUGCCCUCCUGGCGGCCUCGGCAAUGCCGGAUUCCAUGGUCCUCCUUAUGGUCACAUCAUGGUGAAAAGCCUUCACCUCCCAUCCUCCCUCGUGCUCCUCACGAAGGACAACCUUCACCUCCCAAAAAGUGGGAUAGCGAGGGUGGGUGAACCGGGAGCACUUGUAGAGUGGCCUCAUGCCGUACCCCAAGCGGUGACAAGUCCACCUGAGUAUGUCGGCCAUGUGCACUCCUUGGCCAUAAUCUUCCUUCACCCAUUUGAUCCAUGUCUCGGGCUCGGGAUCUGCUUCGGGCUCAUCAUCCGUCAAGUCGACGACCGGUACGGGCGUCGGGGCUGGUGCAGGAGCGGGCGCCGGUGCUGGCGACGGUGCUGGUGACGGCGUGGUCUCCUGCUCCACGGUCACGGCGUCCCCGUCAGAGUCAUCCCCCGGAUGCUGGAAGAUCUCUUCCUCUUCUUCCUCGUCCCAAGGCUCCAUGGGGGCGUACGACGGCGCGAUGCCAUGACGCGGCGGACGGGUGCUCUUGCGUGCGGUCAACCGGGUGCGAGCCAUCUAACAGAAAGAAAGAAGAAAAUUUUAGAAUAAAAUUUUGAACAAAGCUAGAUAAUAAAAUAGCAAUAAGGAUGAGACAAAUCAAGUUUAAGAAUAAUUAAGUAGAUUUAAAUUAAGAAAGGUAGGAAUGGCUACUAGAUUAUUAUAAUCCUUAAAUACGACCAUUUUCUAACUAGGCUAACGUCCUACAGUCAACACGGCUCUGGUACCACUUUUGUCACACCCGAUUUUAAGGACAAAAUCGAGUGCAUUAAAUACAUGUGCGCCAGGAUCAAGUUACACACAUGUACGACAAUAGUGAAUAGUAAAGCCAGUGCUAAAUCGAAUAAAGAGAGUAUUAACCAUUAUUACAUGACCGAAUGUCUCAAAUAAACCACAAAGUCUAAUUAUUACGCAGCGGAACUCCAAAGAUGACGACGACUCCAUAGGCAGCUGACUGAAGAAACGUACGCCUAGAACUCCUCGAAGUCGUGGAAGUACUCCUCUUCCCAAUUAACUUGGUCUGAACAGCGGUUUUGCAAGGGUGAGUACACUUAUGGUUGGUACUCAACAAGUCGUGGGAAGUAGUGUAGUGUAAGGCUAAUUCAAGGUAUGGCUAAGGCGUAAAUAGCAUUCGCUUUUAAUUAAGUUGGUCAAAUUUUAUUAGCAUUUACUAAGUAUAAGUUCAUACCACCCGAAAUUAAACAUGAACAUAAAGUAAACCACAUGUGCAUGAAAUGAUAACAAAUUAAAUCCAUCUUCCGAUAAUAUUAUCAUGUGAGGGUCCAGGCCGCUCUUAACCGUGAGCACGGCUGAUUGAUCAGUUUAACACUCUGCAGAGGUGGCACAUCUUUACCCACAAGUCGCGUAAAAGUUCAAAAGAACUUUGGACCCAACCAUGCGGUGUUUGCAAGGCACCAUACCACACUUCCGAGGUGUGAUUGCAUAGGGACGCUACGAGGCCUUUACAAAGAUUCAUUAAUCAGUGGUAACCCGCUAAGGUUUCGGUGUCUGGCGUGCACCACCCAUCCCAGGUAAAAUGCAACGACUCAGUCCCCCCCCUUGAAUCAUCACGAGUAAGGUCACCCCAGACUAAGGUUUCUAAUUAAUCAGCCAAGACCAGAGCUAUUUAGUCUUGUGGUAGCACUGUUUUCCUGGGUGGUCGCUCCAUGUUCUGAUUAACAAAUAAUGAUCUUGUCUUAAUGAAAGGUAUAACAGAAAUAAGGCAAGAUUAAGCAUUGUUUUUAGUUAAACCACCAUGUACCAAGUAAGCACUAAGCAUGAGCUACCCAACAUAAAGUAAACCGGUUGGUCAAGGCAAAGGUAAAACAAUCUAGGCCAACCUUAAUUGGGACCCAUCAAUUUAAUCUUAAUAUGUGCACAGCAUAAAUGUUGAGUACGAGAAAGUAAAGGUGUAUAGGACAAAAAGGUAGUGAUCAAGGACACGACUUGCCUUCUUGGCCUUGCUCCUGCUGUUCGUACUCCUCGAAGGCUUGAUCGGCAACUCCCUCGAACUGCGGGGCGUCUACACGCAUCACACGAGCACAUACAAGCAAACAUGGGCAAAAGUAAGAAAACAGUAUACCAAACAUAGUCAAACAGAGAAAACAAGCUUGAAAAGAUGAUCUACGCUUUAAAACGAACACGCGGAUAUAAAGAACGCGAAAAACGGAGUUAAGAUGCAAAAGAUAUGAUUAAAACAAAAUCCAGGGACUUUUCUGUAAGAAAAACAAAACUUUUAGGGCCUAUCCGCGAAAACCGAGGGCUUAUACGUAAUUAUGCGUAUAAACCGAGGGUCUGAUGCGUAAAAACAUCAAACCCGGACGGCGGGUUGAUUUCUGGAAAGGUCAAGGGUUAAACCGAAAAAUGCGAGGGCAGAUCUGUAAAUACUUUCAACGCGAUCUGGACCGCGGGUUGAUUUGCGAAAAAGGCGGGGGCUAAAGUGCAAAAACUGCACGGCGCGGCUCGGUUGACCGGUACGCGAUCUUGAUUGACUCGCGUCCGGCCGUCGGAUUAAGAUCCGACGGUCGCGGUGAUCCGCGACAUCGCGGCGGCGGCGGCGAGCGGCGGCGAGCGGCGGCAAGCGGCGGCGGGUCGCCGGAGUUAGGCAAAAUAGCGCCACGAGGCACGGUUUAACGCGCGGGUUGCACCAAAAAAGAGAGGGGAACACGUCGAUCCCGUUUUGGGGGUUCUUGUCGACGGGGGCUCACCGGCGACGGCGAACGGCGGCGAGGAAGAGGCGGCGGCGCUAGGAGCUCGGGCGGCUAGGGUUUCGGGGAGCUGCGGCGCUGGUUUUGGGCGGAGGAGACUGGGAGGAGGCGGCGGCUUUUAUAGGGCUUGGAGAUAGAGCCGGCGCGGGUUCAAAUCCCCCGGAGGAGUCGGAGCGGAUGGAGUCCGGGGCGGAGACGGCGCGCGGCGGUUGCGGAGUUCUGACCGGAUUCGGCCGGAGGUGGGAGACGAUGGGUGGGGUCCACCCGUCAGUGGCGGAGGGGAGCGGUAGACGGGCCGGCGCGACCGUGGGCUGGCGCGCGCUCGUGGGCUGCGGGGAGCGGGAGAGAAGCGGCGAGCGGGCGCUGGCGGAGCAGGCCGAGCGGAGGUAGAGCUGGGCCGCGGAGAAAAAGGAGGAGGCCGGCGGGCUGCUUCGCAGGCCGGUAAGGAUGAGGCGGCCGGGCCGAAGAAGAAAAAGAAAAGGAGGGACAAGGAGCUUUCGGCCGAGGGAAAAGAAGAAGAAAAAGAAAAGGAAGAAGAAAAGGGAAAAGGUUUUGGAAUUUGAAUUUAAAUCUGAAAUUCAAAAUUUGAUUCAAACUCAAGCAACCAAAAAUUAUGCUCCAGCAUGAAUGCACAAAUAAUUCCUAUGAUGAAUUAAUUGAAUUAAAGAAAAUGAAUUUAAAUGCCUAGAAAUUAAAUAACACCCUAAUUUGAGCAAAUUUUAAUGAAUUUGAAUUAUUGAAAUUUUGGGUGUUACAUUGGUACUACAUCUCAUGUAGUAGAGGCGAUUGUAAGAAGCAACUUGAAAAGAAGUUUGAUCACUACUAUUGCAAUAAAUGUGACAAGAGAGCCGAACCUAAAGCCCAGUAAAUUAUUUAGUAGUUUACAAUCUUAUUAUAAUACUUCUAUUUCUAAUAGGAGAAUAAUAUUUUCAGAUUCAAAUUAAGCUUCAAAUAAGUGAUCCAACAACAAGUGCAACUUGUGUACUUUUGACAAGGAAGCAGAAAUGAUAAUUAAUGAAUGAGCAGAUUCGAUGAUCACCUCAGUUGAUCAUGAUAAUAAGUAGCUACCAAAAUCAAUUCAGGAAAUAUGUGAAGAAACAUUGAUUUCUCAAUUCAGAUUGACCGAGUACAACUUGACAAGUUUUAGACCUGAUUAUACUGUUUCAAAGAUAUUUUUUCCAAAAGAAAAGGGCAGUUCAAGAAUUGGUAUGGAAAGUGUAAAAAAGGUAACACUUUAUUAUUAAUUUUUUAUUGCACUUUUUUCUUUUGAAUCCGUAAUACUUAAUAAUUUUACUAUAUCAAUGAAACAAAUUCUAACCUAAAUUUAUUUUCUUUUUUAUUAUUUGUAGGAAGUAGAAGACAACUCAGACAAAUGCUACACGAUAACUACCGAGAAUGAAGAGGUAGACACUGAUGACUCUUUUACCGAGAAAGUAACAUUCGUAGAAGAAGCCAUAAGGACUGGGGAAAGAUUGGCUAGAAAAGUAUACUCACUUCCAUGUCAGUGUUCAUUCUAUUUACAAUACAUGCAAAAAAAAUAUUAUUCAUGCAAAAUUGCAGGUCUACUAAGCAUUAAAGGAAUAGCGGAUAGUGCAAUAUGUAAUCUGAGCAGCAUGCAUUACAAAGUGCUCUACUGCAAUUAAAUUAAAAAACAUGAUAUAUGUUGAAUUCUUAGACUUUAUUAUUAUACUUUUCUACGUGACAAUUCACAAUUUUUUAGAAAAAAGAAGAUCCCAGAAGAAGUGACCAUGAAAAAAGGUCUAUGACCAGCAAUAAGAAAAAAUGCAAGCAUAGAAACAAAUCCGUAGAAAACAUAGAAAAUAAGGUACUCCAUAAACAAAAGUAUUCUCUUAUAUUUUUAUUAAAUAUUUUUUUAACACUUGACAAGUUCUUUUUUAGGAUCAAUAUAUCAGCAAUUCAGAUGUCAUUGGAGAUGAAACCUUAGUUCAUCCAAAAGGUCAAAAAAAAACAUCUGAAGAAAGGUGUUUGGCUGAAAAGGAAAAGCAAAAAAGUGGUAAUGCAGACAAACACAUGCAGAAAAAUAUAAAAACAUGUCAUAGGGAGGCAGACCAAUCUUGCAAGGAGGUAUAGACGAAACGUGAUACACGACCUGCCUACCUUGUCGUGGAUACCCCAAGAAGAUGUCAUAGAGGUGCAGACCAAGCUAGCAAGGAGGUCGAAACGUGAUACACGGCCUGCCUACCUUGCCGUGGAUAUUAGCCCUGAGAUCAUUCUACUGUUCAAGGAAUAACACUCAAUGCUGCUGCUGCUGCUGACCUGGCUCCAUAAAGUUAUACUCCUCUAGGUGCUUGCACUAACUUUAUCUGAAGUAUUAUUCUCUCUGCACUGUAUAUAUGGUUAUGGAGUUUGCUGGAGUAUCCGGGGCGAAGAACCUACAUAAUACGUCUUGGAACUAAUUGACAUUGAUUCACAGACAAACUCUACAAGGUGCUGUUCUUGCCAUUUUAGAGCAUCCAAAGGACUAUAAAUAACAUAGUUUACCAUAUACCAUAUACCAUAUACCAUAAUAUGUUAGCUAAAAUAAGAGCAUACACAUGUUGCAGGAGUCCAAAAGCACCGGUUGAGGACCAGGUACAUUGAAUUACUAGAAAAAGACAGGGGACAAGGUUUAGGUAACCACAUGAAACAUUUGAAUUUAUUGUACUAUGAACACUUAGUUACCAUGCCAGGAGCACAUAGUUAACACUAACAUUUAGCCACUUUAGAUCAUCCCGAAUCACCAAUGACCCUCAAUAGUGACAAAUUUUGGUUUAAAUGCCAUCACCAAUGAUCCUCAAUAGUGACGUAUUUAGGUUUAAAUCCCGUCACUAAUAACCCUCAAUAGUGACCUGUUUUGGUUUAAAUCUCAUUACCACUGAUCCUCAAUAGUGAUGUGUUUUAGCAAAACAUGUUAUCAAUGACUUGUCAUUGGUGACGUGUUAAAACGCGUUAUCUCAAUGGCAAAUCAUUGGUGACGUGUUAUCUCAAUGUUAUCAAUGUUCUAUUCUUUUCAACAAUACCAGCUCGUUCCUCCGUUUUUAUUCCACCAAUACAAGCACCACCUUGUAACAUUUCCUAUGUUUUUUUUCCUUUUGUCUGUUUUCUCACUACAUGCGUUGCUCUUUCAUGCAUUUUUUUCCAUUCCUGUAUUCCAAAUAGGUCUACAUGAACACAAAAUGAACUAGGGGACAGAAAAAGCCAGUGAAGCCAAUUUUGAGCUUCACCAGCUACUUGCUACAUAAAGUGUGCUAUAGUGACGUGUUUUAGCAAAACAUGUUAUCAAUGACUUGUCAUUGGUGACGUGUUAAAACGCGUUAUCUCACUGGCAAAUCAUUGGUGACGUGUUUUAAAAAAACAUGUCACCGUGAGAGUCAUUGGUGAAGGGUAAUUAAAAUGCGUCACUAAUGUUGUAGCAUUAGUUAUGAUAAUUUAGUAACGCAAAAAUCUACCAUCAGUAUUGAGCUUUAGAGCCAUCGCUAAUGUGGGUUUCUUACAUAGUGAUGCAAGCUCUACAAGGUGCUGUUGCUGCCAUUUUAAAGCAUCCCAUGACUACAUGUUAAUAACAUAGUUUACCAUAUAUCAUAAAAAUAUUAGUUACAAUAAGCACAUACGCAUGUGGAAGAGUCCGAAUGCACCGGUUGAGGACUAAACACAUUGAAUUACUAGAACCAAAUGUAUGUUUAGAACAAAGACAGGGGUCAAGGUUUGGGUAACCGCAUUAAAAACAUUGGAUUUUACUGUACAUGAACACUUAGUUACCAUUACCAUGCCUUGAGCACCUAGUUACAACAAACAUUAAUUUAGCCACUUUAGAGCUUCCAGAAUCGCUAUAAAUAAUAUACCUACGCCGUACCAUGAAAACAUCAAGAAGAGAGACGGAUACAUGGACCACCAUCAAGCGAGUAGUGACAGCACGCACAAGAAUACCCGGAACCUGUUAGCUUGUCUGUAGUGAUCUGUUUUCUUCCCCAUAAAAUCCAUGAGUAUUGCCACAAAUAAUGAAAGAGGCUGACCAAGCUAGCAAGGAGGUAGAGCAAACGUGAUACACGGCCUGCCAAGAUUGCCCUGGAUACGCCAAUAAGAGCGACAGAUACAUGGAUCACACCAAUAUGGUGAAACGUAUAUUCAUCACACAAGCAAAGCUGGUCAGUUUAUCCAUGGUCAAAUUGUGGUCUUUGUUUUCACUUGAGAGCUAAUUGAGGCACUAUAAUAUGGGCAGGCCUAUCUUCAACAGACAUGACAGCUACAGGGAACUUGACAUAAUUUGCUGGGCCGCCUGUGCACAAUUAUUUGUUUUAUUGUCCUUGCAUAGAAUGCUAAAAUACUCUUUACAAAAUGUUGGAUCUAAUAUUUGAAAUAUAGAGUAGUAAUCAUAUAUUGAUCAACAACUUGAAAUUAUCUGUACAUUCUCGGUGAAGCUGUUGAACUAAUUUUUGCAAAUUAUUAAUUCAUCUCAUUACGUAAAGAAAAAAGUAAGUGGAUAAGAUAUUUCGUGGACCACAUCACUGCAAACAUGUCAUGGAGAGACAGACCAAGGAGGCAGGACGUGAUACACGACUUACCCUAGGUUGCCGUGGAACCGCCAAGAAGAGAUACAGAUACAUGGACCACACCAUCUUGGGAGUAGUGACAGCAUAUAUGCAGAAGAAUACCCCGUGCCUAUUUGCAUGCAUGUCUCAAGUGAUCUGUUUUCUUCAGAAAAUACAUGAGCAUUGCCAGAAAGAAUGGCAAGAGACAAACAUGUCAUAGAGACUUGCAUGUCUUGCCUUGGAUACGCCAAGAAGAGGGACACAUACAUGGAUAACACAAAUCUAGUGACACGUAUAUUCAUCACAAAGGCAAAUCUGAUAAUUUUAUCCAUGGAGCAGACCAAGGAGAAAUUGAUGACGGACAUGUGAUCUCUGUAUUCAGUUGAAAGCUAAUUGAGCUACACUAAUAUGAGCAGGACUAUAUUCAAGAGACUUGUUGAGAGCUACAGGGAACUUGUAAUAAUUUGCUGGGCGGCCUGCGCACAAUGAUUUGUUAUACAUAGUUGAAAUAUUUCAAGAAUUUAUCAACCUCAUACUCUGAAACCCUUGGUGCAAUGUACUCUGCUUUCCGAGGUAGACUGUUCACGUAAAAUGAGGUCAUGCGUAAGACGGAAUCGGAUUGGAUUCACAGGGAAUCAGAUUUGGAUAGCACCUUUUAGCAGGUUUUUAGUCAAAUGCAAAUUCGGAUCCACAUGUGGUUGAAUGCGAGUUCAAAAUUCUACUUGGAUAUCCAUUUAAUUUAGGUGAUAGCAAUUAGCACAAAAUGUUGGAUGAACAAAAUCAUAGUUAGACAUACAAUUACAUGUAUGGUUAAAGUAUAAUACAAUACACCAAGAUUAUUCCUUGAAAAUAUUUCUUAAAAAUAUUAUAAUAAAUGAAUAAAUAUAAUUGUGGCCACCAACAAAUAGUCGGUGGUCGCUAAGUUGGAGCCAUUUCUGGUUACUAAUGCGGCCUUCUCCUCGACCAGCGACGACAGCUGAGCUUGUUCCUUCUGACACUAAAUCAUCAGAGUCUUCCCUCCACUACUAUAGAAUGCACCUUUAGCACCAAUUGGGAAAUCCCCUUCAGUAUUGGAUGCUGCAACCAGUGCUAUAUAUCAAAAUGGAGACUAAAAGCCUCGGUCUUGGGUACCGGUUGCAUAACGCAUUACUAAAGGAGGCAAAAGAGAAAUGUAACAAAAAAAAUAUUUUGAAUUCCAAGAAUGUUUCACUAUUCAAGAUGACUAGCUGAGAGUCAACAGACAAGAUACUAGGAAUGUGGGUGCUUGAAUGCAUUUGUACAGAGGUCAUACUAUUUACAAACUCUUCUAUGUUUCCAUAUGACUACCUACUUCAAUGUCACGCGAGCCAUUCAGCUGGACACAUGGCACACUAGCUUGCAUGUCGAAUCCAUGAUUAAUUAUUUGCACUUGUGAUCUCUUACCAGUAUUUGUCCAGACUAGAAACGUGCAACACAUUUUUAGGAUAUGGACACGCAUAUAUUUGGACUAGUAUACAGGUCACCUUUGGAUGCGUACAAGGAUGACCGGGAGGGACUAAUGGAUACAAGGAAGGGACCAUCAGGAUUAAUAUUGACAUAUGCCACAUGACAAUCUUCAUUGUCAUGCAAUCCCUAUCAACAAUCAUGGAAUCCCUAGUGUACUAAUCCCUGGAGGGUUGUGUGGAAAUUUAUUUUACCUUGCGGUGAAAAUCUCAUGAGCAGUCAUUAGUUAAGCUGACUAGCUGAGAUAUAAUAGACAAGCUAGUAAGAUUGGGAGCAUCAAUGCAUCCAUACAGGGUCACAAUAUCCUUUCCAUUCACUUUUAUAUAUAACCCUACGAAUACAAGUCCAACGAAAUGCGGGCCUUUCGAUCAAGAUAAAUUAAAUGGCCCACUUGUAUUUCUAAUCCAGGAUUAACUAUGCCCUCUGUUCAUCUCUUGCAAGCACGUGCAACACAUUUUCACGAUAUGGACAUGCAUGGAGGUUAUUAUACUGUUUGGACAAACUCUGAUGUGCCAUGACCUAAAUGCUUAGGGCCUGUUUGGUUUGAGUUGCUUAUUAUAAGCAACUUAAAGUUGCUUAAAGUUGCUUAUUUGAAGUUGCUUAUUUUUAGUCUAAACUGUUUGGAUACCCUUGCUUAUGAGCAUUGAAUGAGUUGGACAUUGUCAAAUUUGCCCCAUGUGUUGCUACCCCUCCAAUUUGCCUCCCCACCCUUCUUCUUCCUGCACACGUCCGAUCCCGGGGGCCGACGGCGGGCAGGGAGCAGCAGCAGCUGGCCAGGGCGGCGGUGGGGCGGGAGCGGCGGCGCACACCAGCACGCGCUCGCACGCCAGGUGCUAGGGCGCGGCGAGGCAGUCGUCGUAGCCCACCGGGAGCGGGUGCUCGGGCGCGAGGCGGUACUCGACGGAGAUGCCGAGCGUCGGGCGCGCGGCGGCGAGCGCGUUGAGGAAGCGAUGGUAGUGCGGCGACGUCGCGGACUCCGCCACGAAGCCGCCGCCGUGGACGUACACCACCACGGGCAGCUUCGUCUUGCCGUCGGCGGCCGCGGCCGCGGCCUGGGGUGGCAGGUAGAGGCGGACGGAGCAGGAGCCGAGGUCGACGUCCCUGGAGUCGACGCCCGUGGCGGCGUCCAGGCUGGGCCCGACCGGCGGCGGCACGAGCGGGCGCUCGAUGCGGCCGCUCUUGUAAAUCCGACGGGUCUGUGCGGAGGCGGGCGGCGGGCGGGAGCGGCGGGUGGGAGCGGCGGCAGGUGGUGCGGAGGCCGGCGGCGGCGGGUGGCGCGGAGGAAGGGGAGCUGGUGAGUGGUGACAGGGGAGGGGGGGAGAGAGAGGGGGGGUAGGGUGCAUUGAAUGAGGGCAGGAGGUGUAAAGUGCACCUUUUAGUCCCCAUGAGCAACCAUAAGCAGCCCAAGAGUUGCUUAUUUGCUUAUAAUAAGCAACCUCAUAAGCAAGAGUGAUUGGUUUCAUAAGCAACUUAUUUGCUUAUUUUAAGUUGCUUAUGCAUAAGCAUGUGAAACCAAGCAGGUCCUUAACCUAUGGUUGUGGCACCACACAGUACAUAGUAUUUAAUAAUGCUAUUCGUUUGGUAUGUGCACAAGGGCACGCAUGAAAUGUCUGGCCCACGGUAAACAAGUACGGACGCUGCAAAUAAUCUACUCUGCUCGUCCAGUCCCUAGCCUAUAAAUAGAUGCCAUGCUAGCUCUUGUUGUGCUCACAAUUAAUCCUGACUACACACGAGCUUCUCUCCCUGGCCAAGACACAAUCAUAGUAUGAUGAAGAACAUGGCACUAGCCGGCAAUGGUAUGAAGAACUUAAUCCUCGCUGUUCUCUUACUGUGUCUAGUUAUAGGGCAGAUACAAGUGGAAGCUAAGAGCUGCUGCCCAUCCAUUACUGCAAGAAAUAUCUACAAUGCCUGCCGUAUCACGGGUACAUCCCGUCCAACGUGUGCAAAACUGUCAGGCUGCAAAAUUAUCAGCGGGGACAAAUGCAAGCCCCCUAACGACCACCUCACCCUUGACCCGGACACUGGUAAAUAAUAAAUUUAUCUCACUUGAUUUCUUCGUGUUUUGAGUCGUUAAUGUAUUUUCCAUCUGAUGAAACGUAUUGGUUUUGCAUUGAAGAGGAAGUUAAUGUGCUUAACUUCUGCAAGUUGGGGUGUGCGUCGUCUGUGUGCAACAACAUCAACGCUGGUAAGCACCUUUUGCUCAGACGGAGAAAACAAUAAUCAUUAAUUAGCGGCAGCUAGAAUCCUAUAAUCUAAUAUAUUUAUAUAUAUAUAUAAUUUUAUCAGCUCUGGGAAAUGAAGAGGCGAACGAUGCCGUUGAGAGUUGCGACCAAGCCUGCUCUAGCUUCUGCAACGUGCACGUUGGCGCUGCCACCGUGGUUGCUUAAGCAAAUGCAUCCAACUGGAUCGUCCUUGUGCUAAAUAAUUGGAUAUCGUAUCCACUUAAAGCUGCCUUGUGUAGUACGUUUUUGUUUGUGUCUCUCUUUAUAUUCCAAUAAGGUCGGUGAUCUUGAUGCCACACACUCAGACGUGUGUUCAUCUCCAGAUACUACUCCAUGCUACCUGCCCUUUGUGUUUUGUUCAAUAACUGGGUAUCAUAUCCCAGCCAGUGUGCCAUCUGUUUUGUGUUUAUUUCCUUCUAGUUUCAAAGGGGUUAUCAUGAUGUUACCUUCUUUCGAUAUGGUGCUUUGCAUGACUACUGUUGUAUGGUACCAUCUUGUUGGCCAAUAAAUACAUCUUAUCCUAUGACCCUUUGCUAUGACCCUUUGCAAAUAAGUACAAGAUUGUUAAAUACUCGGUAUAAAUUGACUACUGCUGUGAGUUCCCUUUCAGCUUAUCGUAGGCAUACAUUAUUGCUAGCACGGUGAAGACAACCAACACGAAUGGUCAAGUAAACGUACCGGUACUUUUGUAUACCAACACCCUUGCUUAAAUGUACCGGUGUUACUCCCCACUAGCACAUAUAUUCUUAUAUGCUAGCCGGCUUGAAAAUUAACCGAUUAAAAUAAUUAUUUCAAGACAGAAAUAACUUAUCGGCUUCUCGAAGCAUGUGUAAUGUGAAUUCAAGGACUUGAUGGAAGUUGAAUCGCUUAAUCUAGAUUGCUUUCAGGAUUUUGGGUAACUAAAUUUAACAUUUGCACAUACAAAUGUUAAUGUACAAAUAUUAAAUAUAGUUACCCAAGCAGAAUAUGAAGAUACUCUAUAGUAUAUAUAUACUAUAUAAAUCUAGUUAACAUUUAGUCUAAAUGUUAAAUCUAGUUACCUAAAAUCCUGAAAGCAAAAUGUAUAAAUAUAUAUCUUUUAAGGAAUCCCAAAGCAAGAGUUCAGUGGCAUUCUAUAGUCCCAUGCUGCUAGUUUGAGUUGGUCGAAGCCAACUUAAAUAGGAGAGCUCUCUCACUUCUCUAAAUACGUAACUGAAGGAGAGAAGGGGGCUUGGUUACACAACGCACGCACGCACGCAUAUUUGCGUUCUUUUCGCGUAACCAACCGCGUGACUUGAAACUUGCGACGUAGCGUGCUGCCAAGUCAAGUUGAUAUAACCUUUUUGCCGUAGGCGUGUAAUCUUUUGACAACGGUCAUUGGAGGUGAUAAGCACGCAGUCAAUACCUUAAUCCUGAG
rnacentral:lncRNA from 1 species